UUUUUUUUUUGUCAUGCACGGACGUCGUUUUCAUUGGUGAAAAAGAAUCGACAUGGGCGAGAUAGAUCUUCCCUUAUCAUUAGGCUAUUCUUGGCGAAAGCACAGUCCAAACAAGUAAAUGUUGUUUAAUUUACACGUAAGCAUGCCUUUUGGUGCCUAAGUUUGAUUUGCAUGUUGACCCCCAAGGCUCUAGAUCAAGUCAGUGCCUGUUACCUUUCUCGAUCAUGCAUGGAAUUGAUCAACUCUCUAUUAUUAUUAUCUCACUUGGUUUAAGUUUGUUUAAUUUUGGUUACACACAUGCAUGCAUGGGUUGGUGUAGUGAGAUCCCCAAGGAUUUAGUGCUGCAUCUUGACUAUUUCAGUUCAGAUGAUCCCCGUUCAAAAGUUGAGGUUGUUGAUGUAUCAAUAGUUCAGUACUGUAGUCUGUUUUGGCAGUUGAUGCUCGUUCUUGUUUACCUUUUCUUUUUAUUCAUCAUAGCUAGUUCUUGUUGUCAUGCUAGGGCCACGUACACGUACGUGUGUAUAUGCGUAGUCAUAGAAAUGUUCCAGUUUGCUCGAACUGAUUGCCGCAACCUAAUAUUUCAACUAUUCACACUUUGAUUGUUAUUUUUACUGCUGUUCAUCAGUCUUUAUAUCACCACGAAACACGUCAGUGGUGACAUAUAAUUUACGUUCUUUGUUAUAAGUCCAUGCUCUGAUGCGAAAUGCGAACAAUGCACGAUGAAAAUGCGCAUGCGCAUAAAUUUUACCCAUGACCAGAUCGAGUCAAAAAAGCUCGCGCUCUCUCGAUUUCAAUAAACUGAGGGCGUAUUGUUUGAGCUGCACUUUUGAUCUUCUCUGAAAAGCUGCUGCUGACUUUUUUUUUCCCUGAAAAGUCAACACUAACUUUUAGAAAAUGUGUUUAACUUUUUGACUUAAAAAAAGCUAUGAAAAACUCAUAAAACUGAACUUUUCAGCUUUCCAUAUAAACUCAGCUUUUCCGAGCUUCCAGUUUUUCGGAAGUUGCACGAGAAGUUCACAAUUUAUUUGAGCUUCUGACUUUUCAUUGUGAUGACAUGCCAAGAAGUCCCUUUUUCUCUCUGAUGCUGAUAGUUGUGACUCAAACCGAUGUAUCUUGAUUUGAAUUUUAAAUGAUCGAGAAGAGUGGAAGAGAACAGCGGGGACUCACGCUUCUUGUCCCAUACGAGCCUGAAGGCUUUGAAUAUUUAACAGUGUCCAAAGAUAUAUACUAGUAUGCGUUAAGAGGAAUCAUUUUGUUGUAAACAAUAUAUUUUGCUAAGGGAAAUGAAUUAUUUUUCUACAAGUAUAUGUUUCUGAAAGUUGAUAUUAAUUAAUCGCGUACUCUAUCGGGAGACAGCUCUCCAUCUAAGCCUAUCGCGAGAGCCCUCCCAUCGCCGUCCAUCGCACAUUAAACGGCUUGGAUCUCGAACCAAUUCGUCGCUUGGAAUCAAGGAGAGGCGGAGCUGCUGCCGCGGGGGGCAGUUGCAGCUGGCGACGCCGUCGCUGGAAGCGGAUCCGUCGGGGGAGGCAGGAGGCUGGCAACCCGUCUCGGCAGGCGGUGCCGUCGACGCGCUAAAAUCGUAGGGAGCGAUCGUCGUCGACGAGGGCUCCGGCGAAUGCUUGGAGCAGCAGCGCGAGGCGACGAUUCGUUCCAGGUGCAAGUGCGAAUCCCCCUACCCCCUCCGUCGUCCGCUUGUACCUUCUCUGAUUCAAAUAGGUGUGUUUCUCUUCUGAGCCGGUUAUUAUGUAUCGAUUUCACAGCGGAUCCCGCUUUAUAUCAUGGGAGAAACUACGAAUCGUGUUGAUUUUUUUUUCUGCCGACUACUCUAGGGUUUCUUCCCAUUGGCGCAGUUAUAUCUUACUGGCUUUUUGUCGCACCAGAACACCCCUCUGAUGUUUAGGUUGAUAAUCUCGGCAGCUUAUUACAUGCAUUAGCCAUGUCAUUUGUCAGGCAUCUGUUGCAUUUGGAUUUUGUAUUGAGUUGACCAGCAUUCUUAUCAGUUUUUAACAUUGUUGGUGCAUGAUUUAUGUGUCAAAUGCGCUAAGCAAAGACAAGCAUUAAUAACUUGAAGUUACAAUCAUUUUUGUUGUUUGUGCUAGGUACUAGCCCCUUUUUGAACGAAAACAUUAUCAUGAUGAUUAUUUGUAUUAGUUAGUUCUAAUUAGGUAGCUUGACAACUAGCUAGGUGCCUUUUUUUUAACUCAGAAUUCACUGCGCUUUUAAUUUUACCCUUUUAACCAUUGAUGGAACUAUGCUAACUUUUUUAUAUGUGCAUCACCUUUUCUAUUUCAUAUUAGCAGGUCAAUUUUUUUUAUGUUUGAUCUGAGAAGUGAAGUAGUUUGGUGCCUUUUAUUAUUAGAAAAGUACGGUGACAUAUCUGAUCCACGUCAUAAAACAAAGUAACUUAUGCGUUUAAAUAGAGAAGUAGACUUGUAUAUGAUAUUAAACACAUAAGAAGCAACUAAUUUGCUGAUUUACAUGAGAGAUGAAGUAAACCGCCCCUGAAUUUGAACACAUUUAUAUCAGAUAGGAAGUAACUUGCUCUAGCUUCAGUCACAUAAGAAGUAACUAGUUAUUUAUUUAGGGGAGAUAAUAUUUUACCUCCCCUUUAUUCUGCUAUGUUGAUACUGUUAGCUUUUGUGAGCAAUUUCAACCCCUGCUUCACCUAUUUAGCAAAUUUCUUUGCGCGACAUUGUUUUUACAUGAAAAAAAAUUAGUUUGCCUCCUUAAUAGUGCUGUGUCGGUGAUGUACAAAGUAACUCCGUGCCGGAAAGGGCUGGAUCGUGUUAGAAAGUUUUCCUCUUGACCAAUGAAUACAGAUGCAUUCAUGCUCACCGGUCAGAUUAAGUUAAUAUAACCUUUUAAUUUCACAAAGUUGAAAGUAAAAAAAAUAUUUAGUGCAGAAAAAUAUUAAGUUAAUAUUAGUGCUAAAGGUACAAAAGGUGAAAUCCAAUACCAAAAUGAGUGGACAAAAAUUAAGCGGGUUAAAGUGAGCCGCAGACAUAAUCAGAUGGACCAAUGAAAUUAGAGGCGCUUUUCUUUUUUCCCCCCUGAAUGUGGCAUUGCUACAGCAUACACUAAUCUCUGAUGCAAACCCUUAGCUUUUCUCGAUCGUCAAUGAUAGCACACGCGAUGCCCGUCACAUCCACGAGAUCUCACAAGCGACGUGACCGUAUAAUAAGUCAUCUCAUCAGCACCAAAAGUUGAAGAGAGAGACGGGUCGCGAGUUGUGAACGGAGCUGAGACCAGGGCAUCGGGAGAAGUUGGUGGAUGCCUGGACGAAGGAAGGGCCAAGUCCAUGUUGCCCAGCUUUGCUUGACGCCUGGAUUGGAUGCGAUCCGUAUCGUGUGGAGGUCGGAGGGCGGCUACCUCUGGCGCGCGGGGUCGUGGGUGAGUGCGUAACCGUGCGAGACCCAUAUUGGCUGGACUCGACGCCGUGUUGUGAGGAUUUUUAAGAGAUUGGACCGACAGAUCUCGUGAUAAAUGCUGUGAUUGAAAUGAUUUGUUUGUUCUUUGCACCAGCUGCCUGAACAAGCUACGGGUGCUAGGAAUUUUCUAGGCUAGCACCUGGGCUCCAAGGUGGUGCACCUCUUUUGGCUAUUUCUCUCUCCUCCAUACACUCCUAAAUACUUGAGCUGUCCUAAUAAACCAUCAUCAUUACUUCCCCUCCAAAAUACUGUUCAUUUUGGCUUAGAUAACUUUUAUUACGUAUUUAAAUAUAAUAUAUAUCUAGAUUUAUAUAAAAAACUAUGUACUAAAAAGUCAAAACGAAUAGUAAUUUGGAACCAAGGAAGGAGAUCGUUUCCAAAAAGGACAACAAGAGCAUUGCUACAAAAUUUAUCAGAAAGAAAAAAAAGUGGGCUGCCUUGAAUGUCGUCGUCGAACACAACGAUGUUGUAGCUACCGGUGUUUCUGCAUCUUGGUUGGGAAUAGACCAGAGGAAUAUAGGCCGGCUCUGUCGGUGCAAGGGGCGAGUGAGGAGAUGUAGCAGAGAACGAAACUGUUCCAAAGUCAUGUGCCUCUCGAUCCAUGCUUGGACGCGAGGUGGGCAGUGGCGCGGUGUUGCUGACUUGCUUUGGUCCUUGCCGAGGCCGGUGUGCCGUCGCCUCCGAUUCAUUCUCGUUCUGUCCUGCCUCGAACUCUUCUUGUUCGGGCGGAACCUGACUCUUCCUCCGUGUCUUGAAACAUUUCGUCGCAGCGGUUCAUGCCCGUCUUCCAGCAGCAUGCAUGUCACCAUGCAAAUGGCUCGAUAGGUGAGGCCGGCCGGCCGGCCCAAGUCACGGCAGGAAUCCCUUGCUUGAUUGGUGUCAGUAACGGCCAUUCCCUCAGGCCAUCUCGCCGGCGCGGGCGGUGACCUGCUUGUCGCGGCAUGCGGCGCAUACGGCGAGCCUGGCGGACGCCCGGAGGUCGGCGAGGUCUCGCCGGAGUCCCGCGUUCUCGUCGGCGAGGCGGUCGCACCAGCGGCGGAGCAGCUCGCAGUCGACCUCCGUCUGCUUGAGCUUAGUUCUUGCCCGCCGGUUCUGGAACCACACCUCCACCUGCCGCGCGCUCAGACCCACCCGACGAGCUAGCUCCUGCUUCUCCGCCUGAUCGAGACCGACACCAGACAAAAUCAAGAAAAUUCCCAUCAGAUUUAUGUCUCGAAACCAAAAGCGAAUUUAGAAUUUUGGAUCGCGCAUGGGAACAAGUCGUGGCGUAUGCAUAUGAAGAAUUGUGGUAAGAUAAGCCAUGGGUUUCUUGACUGAAAUGGGCGUGUGAAUCUACAUACAUGAGAGAGGAUGUUGUGGGCGCGGAAGCUGUCCUCGAGCAUGGCGGCCUGCGCGCCGGUGAGCCGGAGCUUCUUCCUACCGCCGCCGCCGCUCGGCGGGCUACGUCGGUCGCCGCCCUGGAACGUCCUUGCCUUCUUGUUCUGUCUACUACCAACAGCGGCAGUAGAGGCGUCUCUCUUCUUCCUGCCCGCCGGCGCCGCGGGCUCCCGGUGACGUGCUGCAUCACGGUCGUCGUCGUCGUCCUGCAGCGACAGCACCUCGCCGAACAGCUGCACCGUCCGCGGCCGGCUCCCUUCGCCGCCGCCGAUCCCGAGAGAAAGGCGCGUGCCGACGAACUCCUCGACGGAGACGGAGUGCUCCUCCGCGCUGCCGGCCGUGGUGACGCUAGACAUGGCGGCGAUGGAUCUCGAUCGAGAAGCAGCCUCGGCUUGCGCAGUGUUGCGUCGAUUUGUCCGGAGGUCUGGUUGGUUUAUAUAGGUGGCAGGGGCCAGGCCAACAACCUGAUCGAUGGACACGGUCGCGUACGGUGUCGUGCGGGGUUUAGCAAGCAAGGGGACAAGUAAUUAGGUUAACAAAAAUGGGUAAUUACUAGUAGCAUAAGAGCACGUUGAUGCGUGCUUGGACUUUUUUUUUGGGACGCAAUGGGUGUUUGGACUUGGAUGCUGACUGGUUGAUGAUCAAUCGAGAACAGGUAACAGCAGCUGCUGGAGUACAGAUGUCGGUUUCUUGGUCGUCAAGGAUCGAUCAGGUGUGCGCUGCGAAUGUGAUCAAAGCAGCAGUCAGGCCUGGUUUGUUUCCCUGCUUAUUUUUUUCACCCAUCACAUCGAAUGUUUAGAUACUAAUUAGAAUUAUUAAACAUAGACUAUUUACAAAAUCCAUUACAUAAGUGGAGGCUAAACGACGAGACGAAUCUAUUAAGCCUAAUUAGUCCAUGAUUUGACAAUAUGUUGCUACAGUAAAUAUUUGCUAACGAUGGAUUAAUUAGGUUUAAUUAGGUCUAAUAGAUUCGUCUCGCCGUUUAGCCUCCACUUAUGCAAUGAGUUUUGUAAAUAGUCUACGUUUAAUACUCCUAAUUAGUAUCUAAACAUUCGAUGUGACACGUGCUAAAAAUAAGUAAAGGUAACCAAAUACCCCCUGAUGCUUGCCCUGUUGGAAAACCGACGGCAAUCUACUACUACUAAUGGUGCAGGAGUUUUUAUCAAGCGUUUAGUAGUACUAGCUUUUAAACUUGAUAAUAAUGAUAAGAAUAGUAUUGUCCAAUUAAUCUUUGGGUAGGCUCGUGGGUUUUUUUUAAGAAAAAAAAUACCUACACAGUACUACAAUUUCAACUAAAUUUUGCAUAUGUAUAUUUUUAUGGGUACUACAUGCAUGCAACAUUGCAACAUGCAUGAUGGGCAGUCAAAAGCAGCGUGGAAAUGAUCUGAACCGUACCGUCAGGGCAGACGUACGUACGAACAAGGCCAAGGGCAAAUUUAUGGUGGAAAAUUAAUCCAGGGGGGUUUAGGUGAUUAGAGUGACCGGUUAAUGAUCGUAUCUGACACGUUGAAACGCAAGCGGUGUAAUGGUACCGAGCGAUUGACUUGACCAUCCGGCCGGCCGGCCGGGCAGCAGCCGGCUCCAGCGCAGCGCCCUACGGGUGUGGUGUGGACACGAGCGCAGCGCCCUACGGGUACUUGUACGUCUGGUCGUCUGCCACGUGGAUGACUAGCAAGGGAGAGUUUGAAUCGUACUGUCCUAGAAAGAUCGAUGUAUGGAGUAUAUGUCCUGUACACUACUACAGUAGUACUGCAGUACUUGGUCACGAAUGCAUCUGGACGGGUAUUGCGCAUGCAUGCAUGCAUGCACGCCGUGCCACCCACGCCGACUCCUCGCGCGGAGGAAGAAUCGCGCACCGGCCCGCGCGUGAGCUCACACACGUGUGGAAACUGUCGCGCACGCCCAAGCAGCGUCAACGUCCGUGUAAAUUAUACAUAUACAUGUUUUAGCCAAUAAUUCACAAGGAAACCAAAGGGCAAGUAUAGAGAUGGCAACGGGUAAAAUCCGCGCGGAUACAAGCUUCAAAUAUCCAUGCCUGCGAGAAAAAAAACCGCGCCUGCGCCCGCCGCCCGCCACGGGCAAAAAACCGCGCCCAUGCUUGCUAUCCGCGGAUAGCGCAUGCCCGCAGGCAUGCUCGUGUGCCCGCAUAGCAACAUGUGCCCUAUGUGCCGGUGGUAGGAAGGGAUGGCGCCGCGACGGCUGGUGGCCUGGCGGGCGGCGGGACGGGGGGAGAUGGGGGGCGGAUCCGGGCCUCCGGGGGCAGCCGGCGGUGGCAAGGGGUGGCGGACAGUGGCCUGGCGGGCGGCGGGAUAGGGGAGAUCGGGGUGGAUCUGGACCUUCGGGGGCGGCCGGCGGCUGGAAGGGGCGGCCGGCGGCCUGGCGGGCAAUGGGAUGGGGGGAGAUGGGGGCCGAUCUGGACUUCCGGGGGCCGCAGGUGGCGGGAAGGGACGGCGGCCGGCGGCCUGGGUCGAGAGUCAGGACGGGACCACGGGGGGAGGCCGGGAGGGAGUGAGGGACCGAGUGACUACGGCGGCAGGAGGGAGAAACGAAACCCUAAUAUGAGUUUAUAUGCAUGGUAUUGGGGCUGGGGCUACAUGUCAGAUAUUGGAGCGGGUCUAGCAGGUUUGCGGGUGCGGAUAUCAUUUUUUCACGCCCGUGAGCAAAUAUCCGUUGGAUCUAGGGUCACGCCCGUACCCGUGCCCGCGGGCACAGACUUAGACCCAUAUCCGUGCCCAUCGGGUUUCAUAUCCGCGGGCACACGGAUAUUUUCUACCCGUUGCCAUCUUUAGGUAAGUAUGUACGUACGUAGCCAAUAACUUUUAUGCUGGAGUAGUUAGCAAUUUUUCAUCAUAUUAAUAUUUAUUAGUCUGAUUGUUUUCUAAGGUGUGCUCUGACUCAAGAUACCGCCCAUGUAAGCUGACUCCAUAUGAUUAGACUCAAGUUUAUUGGCUAACAUUAGAUCUAAUAUAAGCUAGACUAAGACAAGUCAAUGGAUACAUCCCAAGCUAAUUAACUUUACUAUACCCCAGGUCACAAAUGAGUGAUUUUUUCAUGAAUUAACAUGGUUUCCAAACACACGGCAUUGACCACUAAAGUCUGUUACAAAUACUUCCGGAAAUAUGAAGUUAACUAGCUUGGAUUAAUAAACUUGGGAUGUACUUGCAUUUCCUAUUGGAGCAAGUUUUUAUUUUUGAAAUGAUAUUGGAGUAAGAUUGACAAAGCACAGCAAAAUUAAUAAAUUAUGCCUAAAUGGAACUAUACAGCUGGUCAAGAUGAAUAAACUAGUAUCAUUUGCAAAUAAAUACCCAAACUUAGUAGAAGAAGAAAAAUUUACAACUAAAUCUGGGAACUUGGACAAAAACAAAGCAUCACUCGCCUGUUGUGACUUGCUUGACGAGUACUUGACCACCAAGUGCUUCAAGACAAAAAAACAGAAUGCAGUCUUACCUUAAUUAUUAGAGUUUGACUUCUCGUACGGCCUAUACCUGCUGGCCCGUCCUCCCUGCGUCCCUUUGUUUUUUAUCUGUUGUUCUCACUUCCUGAGAAUUCAAACGUAAUCAACUUUAACUAUAUAUAUAUAUAAAUAUUAAUAUUUAUGAUACAUAAUUAGUAUCAGAUCCUUGAAUCUAUUUUCAUAAUAAAUUUAUUAAAAAAAUAUAAAUGCUGUUAAUAUUUUCUAUAAAUGUUGUUAAAAAAGUUUUGACUAGCACACUUCCCACGGCACGGACAAAGUGAGUACUGCCGUAGUUUGGUGACGAACCUGAUCUCUUUCCCUCCCUUUUUUUCUGGUCAAAAGAACGUGCUGUUUCGAUGCUUUGUCACAUGCAUGUUCCCAUGGUCCAUGGAGAAAUCUGUCGUACCCCCUACCCUGCAGGAGUCAGUGCUUCUGCACACGAUGUCCACCGUUCAGUCCUCGCAACAUAACUGCUACUGUAUAGGCCAUGUAUCGUGUCGGCCGGCCGGGCUCCAAGACUUGGGAUUUUGCGUUCACCAAUAAUGCACGGAUCGAGCUGGAAAGUCCAUGAGCACCAUUUGUGUGCACGUGCCAUGCUCUGGUCAAUGCCGGAGCUCCCAAGCCGGCGGUCGUAGCCUCCCCGGCGUACGACGUCUCACCGGCUGCUCUUUUUUCCAAAGCUUGCAGCAGAGAUCGUUGAAUUGAACAGCGAAAAAAAAACCAUUAUAACUUGCAAAAGGAAUUUUUGGACUACAACAAAUAAAAGUUUUAUAUCUCUUCCUUCAUAGGUGGUUUGUCAUUUCCCAGCGAUGACGCUGGUCGCUCACAGCUUCAAGGCGGACGACGUCGCCCAACUAGUUGGUGUGUGGACGCAUGAAUCCUGUCUCUAUCAAUUAUUCCAUCAACGCCGAUGGUUCAAGUUCAAAGGUGGCGAAAAUGGAAGAUAAUAAACAAAUUAAAUAAACUAACAAUUGCGUCACCAGACCCUUUGAAGAAGAUCUCUUGAUUUCGAAAAAAAGAUGGUGCGUCACUCUCUUUUUGUUUUUACAAGCUUAGGAUGCAAGGCAAUGCAUCGCCUUUAUUUGCAACAACAUGCAUAUUUACUUUCGUAAAAAAAAAACAUGCAUCUUUACCAAUUCAUCUUCAUUCAAGCAGCGCCCGACAGAUGAAGAAAAAACUCCAUCCCACAAUGAUCUGGAUGACUCGUUCUGGAGCACAUCAUACUUUGUUUUCUUUCAUACGCAUCAUACUACACUUUUUUGAAACAGUCAUUUCAUGCACUUUGUUUUCUUUUCGUAUCAGAUCAUGUCUAAGAGCUUUACUACUUUCUUUUUUGUCAUGCGUGCGCGUCGUUUUCAUGGGCGAAUCGACUUGGGCGAGAUAGAUCUUCUCUUAUCAUUAGGCUAUUCUUGGUCCAAACAAGUAAAGAUGAUCAAAUUUACACGUACGUAUGCCUUGGUGCCUAAGUUUGAUUUUCAGGUUGACCUCCAAGGCUCUAGAUCAAGUGAUCAGUACCUAGUACCUUCCUGGAACAUGCAUGGAAUUAGUCAAUUUUGAAGCAUUGUACGGCGUCCAUUAGAUUUCAACUCUCUAUUAUUCCCUCACUUGGUUCACGUUUGUCGUUUGAUUUUGAUAACGUAUGCAUGGGUUGGUGUGGUGAUCCCCAAGGGUUCAGUGCUGCAGCUUCACUAUUUCAGAUGAUAGUUGAUGUAUGAAUUGUUCAGUACUACAGUUUGUGUUGUUGGCAGUUGAUACUUUGUCCUUGUUUACCCUUUCUUUUUAUUCAUCAUAUAGUCAUAUUCAUUGGAGUCCAAAUGUUGGGUCAGUGGGUUUGCCUCACCGGCCCUCUGAUGUUUGGCCGGUCUGCUAGGUGAUGGCUGCCUGAUAAAAGUGAGCGCAUGCACGCGCAGUUUGCACUUUGCACAGCAGUCGAGCGUCGUCACCUCGUUGGUCGUCAUUAGCGUUCUGUUCCUCCACUGGUAGUUUCGCGCAAAAUAUGCGCAUGCACGAUGCGUGGGAUUCAAAAUCCAUAACCUCUUACCUCGCGUGUACUUUCCUUACUAUCUUACCUACACAACACAUCCGAUUGAGUAGGGGAUACUAUCUUUUGAAUUCACCCGUGGGGGACCCUUUAGUCCUGGUUAGUGUUACCAACUAAAGCUCAGCUCGGAGGGACUUUAGUCCUAGUUGGUGUUACCAAUCGGGACUGAAGGGAUCUCCACAAACCAUAAAAUUUAGAUUCGGUACUAAAGCUUCUUUAGUCCUGGGUCAAAAAUGAUCGAGAUUUUUUUUGAGAAUGGAAGGUCGUUUUUCUACUUAGUGCUCCGUUCCUCCCUCGUCAGUACUAGCGUUCGGCAAUUGGCGAUUUUGCUGCGACACAGCAAAGCCGGCGGGCGCAGACUAGGCCUCAUUGGCCAAGGCAAUCACGGGUGUGGAGGAGGCUCAUCGUGAGUGGGGGCAGCUGCUGCCGGUGCCGACCGCUGGGGAGGCCACAGCGGGCGCUAGGCAGGGCUAGCCGUGUGUGCCAGCGAUUGCUGAAGGAAAUUCAGAACAACAUAAGAUUCGUGAAGUGCAAAUUGGCAAUAGAUUAAUUACCUCCGUUUCAUGUUUGAUGAAGCAUAUAUAUAUAGUUGCUAUUUUGUUUGAUGGUAAGCUCUCAUUCAACCAAAAACCUUAUACAAUGUAGCCCGGUUUUGCUCCCUUUGACAAGAAUAGAACUUGCUAAAUUAUAUCCCAGAGACUUCUCAGUCAUUCAGUUAUGGAGUCAGUUAUGGAGUUGAGUGUCUAUCUUACCAACUUAGUAACUUCAUCACUAUGUGUGUAGGGAUAGUGGUUUAGCAAAGAAUAUUGGUGUUGCUUGUUGAAACAAAGAUGGAUGUCAUACCACUACUGGGGAAUGCGCCAUUAGUACCGGUUUCGCAACCGGUACUGCUAGUUCGGUACUAAAGGGGGCCCUUUAGUACCGGUUGAAAUAACUGGUACUAAAGGGGUAUUAAAAAAUUAAAAAAGGAAAUCCCCUGCCGUCCACCCCCCCCACCGCCCCGCCACCGGCCCUUGCCGCCCUCUCCUCCACCCUUGCCACCCGCCCAUCCGUCCCCGCCGCCCCUCCACCUACCCCGCCUCCGCCUCUGCCAUUCGCCCCGCCGCCCUGGGCCCUCCCACCUUCGCCUCCACCCCUCCGCCCCGCCCCGCCGCCCUCCGCCUCCGCCCCGCCACCGCUCCCGCCGCCCGCCGUCGCCGCGGCGCCUCACCCCGAUAUCCACUGCUACCGCACCUUGCCCCGCAGCUGCUCCUCGCCUCAAGCACGAGGUGAGGGGCGAGCGGAGGUGGGAAGGAGAGGGGAGGCUGGGGAGGGAGGGAGGGGGCCGGUGGAGGGGGAAGGAGGGGCUCCUGGAGGGAGUGAGUUGAGGGAGGGUGAGGGCGACAGAGGGAGGGAGAGGAUAAGGCCCCCAGGCGUGCAGGAGAGGAUAAGAUGAGGAAGGAGAGAGCGCUGAGAGGAUAAGGUGCCGCACAGAUGGCUUUAGUACCGGGUGGGAAGCCCACCCGGUACUAAAGGACGGUCUUUAGUACCGGGUGGAGCCUCUACCCGGUACUAAAGAGCCUCAGGCACAUUAGUACCGGGUAGGGCCUCCACCCGAUACUAAUGUGUACCCUUUAGUACCGGGUGGUGCCCCCAACCGGUACUAAAGGGGGGUCCCGGGGGCUCCUCGAGGACUAUCCAUUAGACCUGGUCCUAAUGCUCAUAUUAGUACCGGGUCAAAAUAAAACCGGUACUGAGCCUCAGGACGAAUGCUCAGUUUUCCCGUGGUGUACACAGAUACACUUAUGUCUACAAGUUUCUUAAAUUAGUGCUACUGGUACCAGUUGUAACUGCAAACAUUCAAAGAGAAUUUUCAUCAAUAGAUUUUGUGAAGAAUAAGGUUAGAAAUAGAAUGAGAGAUCAAUACUUGAAGGGUUUUAAUUGAGAAUGAAUAGUACGUGAUAUUGUAUGGAUUACAUGACUAUUUGGUUUCUACCUUUGCUUUCAUGGAACUUCAAAUUUUUCUAUAGAAUCUGUUCCAAAUUUUUCUAUAGAAUCAUUGUUCGGUUCAUCAUGUACACCUAAUAUGAAAAUCCUACGUCCACCACUGGCAUGUAUCCUUCGUUGGCAAGCAAUGCAAUUCAUCGUCAGCAUCGAUGAUGUGAAAGGAGUUGAGACGAUAGCAUCGUGAAGGUAGGUGGUGGAUGGAGUUGCAGGCCAAGUCCAUGUUGCCCAGCGUUGCUUGACGCCUGAAUUGGAUGUGUCCAUGCCUUAUUGCCUUGGCUUGCCAAGCACACGGACAGAGCCGCGGCGCACACACGUGUGGCGAGGCCGGACGGCUCUGGCGCGCAUGAGAUCGUGGGUGAGUGCGUAAGCGUGAGAGACCCACGGGACUCGACGCCAUUCUUCGUUCCCAGCUACUCCUUCUGUUCCAAAUUAUUAAUUUUUUUGAUUAACAGAUAUUAUUAUGCAUCUAAACAUAAUGUAUAAUAACAUUUAUGAAUCUGGAACGGAGGAAGUACCACCGUGGAAAAGGAUCACUCCCGAUGUACGGAAGCACCCAGCAGCCGAUAUACAUGGCUCGCAUUUUCAGCAUAAUAAUAUACACGGCUGUACCACAGAAUUUUUUAUUUUCAGCAUGCUGUUAGAUUUACCGUUAAAGCUAGUGACCGGAUCGGCAGCGUUCCGGUGUUCCCUCCUCCCAAGUCCCAAAGGUCGAACACCAAAAGAAAAAAUUGGCUUCCAGAAGCAAGCUGUUUCUUUUAACUUCAGUUUAUCAUAUAUAGACAGAACAUGCAAUUAUUGACGAUCUCAACGUCUCGUCACAAAGUGUGGCAAACCACUCAUUACGCAGCAGAAGAGAGCACAACGCAAUAGAUAAAACUUAUGGACAUAAUAAGGUCCGUUUGCUUCCACUGACUUAUUUUUAGCACCCGUCACAUCGAAUGUUUAGAUACUAAUUAGGAGUAUUAAAUGUCGACUAUUUACAAAACCCAUUACAUAAGUGGAGGCUAAACGGCGAGACGAAUCUAUUAAGCCUAAUUAGUCCAUGAUUUGACAAUGUGUUGCUACAGUAAAUAUUUGCUAAUGAUGGAUUAAUUAGGCUUAAUAGAUUCGUCUCGCCGUUUAGCCUCCACUUAUGUAAUGGGUUUUCUAAAUAGUCUAUGUUUAAUACUCCUAAUUAGUAUCUAAACAUUCGAUGUGACACGUGCUAAAAAUAAGUCAGUGGAAGAGAACACCACCUAAAACACAAGGCAAAACAUAAUUCAGGUACAUACCAACCAAAGCCAAGACUUACGCAGCAGAAGAGAGCACAACGCAAUAGAUAAAACUUAUGGACAUAAUAAAACACAAGGCAAAACAUAAUUCAGGUACAUACCAAACCAAAGCCAAGACACAUGCCGAUGAACAACCACCAAAGUCAAGACUAGCAUCAGUAGUUUUUUUUUCUCGCGAUCGUGCCUGAGCACGUACAUUUUUCACUAAGAGGAAGAAGCAAAGUACAUCCUAAUCCGCAACUUGUCCAGAAUUGACAGGACCGGCCAAAGAACUAAUUAAGGGUGAUUGUACUACUUCUCUUGCCAAAAUUUUACUGGAAAAAUAGAUUUAUAUACUAGAAUGAUGCGGUAUUUGUACUAAAAUGAUAUAAAUGCUUCAUGAGAGAGUUAAUAAGUAGUUCAUAAUUCAUAAUAGUAGUAUUUGUGAUAAGCAAAAGUUCCUAAUCAUGGAGAAGGUGCUUUGGUUUCAUUUCCUACACUCAAACUGUACUCCUGGUUGUACAGAGACGUGCCGCGGCAAUAUUGUCGUAAAUUUUAUUUUGCGCAUCAAUUGGACAUCAAGCAUCAACGAACGACUUUGUGGUCUAUAUUUUGUUGCCCAAUGACCGAUCACUGCUACCACGAUUUGUUUGUCUCCAAUAUCUCAUUAUAAACUGGCUCCAAGCAUUUCAGUUAACUUUGAUAGAGGUUAUUAGACGAAGAAGAUACAGAUUGGAAGAGAAAUGAGAUGAAUGUGCUCCUUAUUUAAAGUACUCUGAGUAGAGGAGGAGAUAUGCAUGAAUCCCAUCACGAAGAUGGGAUGCUUUUCGGUUUCGGUUUAAGUUUCACCGAAUCAAUUGUAUGGGCUGGGAGGGCCUCAUGCAAGCCUAGCCUAGCCCAUGCAAGCCUAACAUGUGUUUCACUGAUGAAACCAUUAUAUAUAUACUCCAGUUCUUGUUUUUUUUUUCAUGAAGAUCAUAGUUGAUAGGUUGCUAUAGAAAAUUAGGUUUGUGGGAUGUUGGAGAUAGACAAAAAAACAGCUAUGAAAAAUAUGCCCUUCCAGUUUACAUUUAUUGUCCUUGAAGCAAACAACUAUAUCCAUGCUAUAUUUCAAACCUGCAAAGCAAAGCAACUAAGCUAGCCAUGCCGUGCUGUCAACGACUAGGGGCUGCGCGAUGACCCCGUGCAACUCUGAAGCUGGCCGGCAGUCUGAAGCUCGAUAUGUAUUGGAGUGGAAAAUGAACUAAAUCUCUACCUAAUACGUAUGGAUUGGGGAGGAUUAGUAUGUAUGCAAGCAAGGGCUUUGGAGUUCGAGUUCGUUUGUCUUUUCAAUCAUCGCCUAAGAGCGAUAAAAUUUAACGUGAUUGUGAUUGCCCUCUCUCUCUCUUUCUCAAGAAGGAUGGGACGCGUGAUUACUGAGUCAUUCAGAUCCGAUCGACCGACUCUUGUUUGCACGGUGCCAGAUUUCAAGCUUGCUUUUGCAGUGUUGACAGACACGCAGAACCCGUGUAUUACCUCACAAAAUUGGGAUGCACGGCUAGUUAAAAAUAUACGAUUGCAAGAUUAGCUUUUAAACAUGGCCCCACGACUCCAACUCAAGCCUGCGCGCCACUCUCGCCGCCGCUGUCAUGCAUGUGCGGCGAGGACACUGUGACGGUCUCCACAGCGAGCCCAGCCCACCACUCAGUUGUGCUGAUGUCGGGAGACAAGACAAGCUGAGUGGUCCACUCAGUGGAUGUCGCCUCUUGUAAUCCGCAGCACUUCAAGCUUUCGUCAGGAGACAAGACAGGGGCUGCGCACCUGCGACGACUAGGAGGAGCUGCACGAUGGCCUUGCGGCCCGUGCAACCUCUGAAGCUGGUCGGUACGGUGGUGUGAACUGUGAACCUCCCUUGUUCUUGACGGUUAAUGUGAUGGCGAGGCAAUGAAAAUCUAUAAGCCCUUGUUCUCGACCUUAAUUAAGCAAAUGCUUUUUUUGUUGUGAAAAAAAUGAGACAAUGAAGGGGCAAAAAAAGUUAUGUUAAGGAAGUAGUAAGCACCAGUUUAGACAAAAAAAGAAUAGAAAUAAAGUUUAGUAAAAACAAGUUAAAAAACUUUAGCCCCGAAGUUAUAAAAUUAUAACUCAGUUCUCAAGACCAAAUCACAAACUUUUGGUCAACCAAAAAACAACAACUAACUUUAGUCGUCACAAAAUAGAUGUCUUCACUAACCAAAGUUUGUUAACUUUUUAUUCAUUUGUUGCAAAAUCUAUAUUAGCGAGCCAAGUAAUUUAUACUGUGCCUAUGUCAAAAUAGAACUAUUUGAUACACACCUUCAUAUUAAAUUAUACAAUACAACAAUCGGGUAAAAGAACAGCUACAACGAACACAAACCAAACACCGAGCAACCACCAGACCAGUACUCCACCGCCAUGCCCUCAUUCAGCGAUGUUACAACGACGUAUGGAAAUAUGAAAGAGGAGACACACGAUUUAACGUGGAAAACCCCUUCGAUGUGAAGGGGAAAAACCACGGGCACCAGCCAGCAACAAUCUCACUAUCUCAAGAGUUUAGGGUUACACGCCUAUGGCGGCUUACAAGAGAAUCCACUCUCCACGAAACCCUAGCAAGGGUAUAUAUAUGCUGUAUCGACCCUUGGUCCCGGGCGAGGGUGGAACUCCACCUCGCCCGACCCUGAGUCCUGGGUCCCGGGGUCGGAUGCGCCCGACCCUUUGAGGGUGGAACUCCGCCUCGCCCGACCCCGAGUGAAGCUCCGCCUCGGCCGACCCUGAGUCCUGGGGUCGGGAGUGUCCGAAGCCCGGCCUAUAUCCUGGAGUGAAUUUGGAACAACUCCAACAAGCCAUAGCACACUCCGCAAUCAAACCCCACCGGUUGCACGUGGUGAAUUUGUUUGUCUUCCGAAUAAUCACCUAGAACCCAAGCAGGGAAAUCCAAUUGUGAUUGCCAUAGUUUGUUGACCUCCAAUAUCUCAGUGAACUGUCACUGCACCAUGCAAUCUAAGCUCUGGAGUGCAGUAGUAUUCAAGCAGUCCUAUCAGUGAUGCACACAUACAUUGAAAUCUGCUCGACCAACUCUUUGCACCGUGCUGGAUUUUAAGCUUGCUUUGCCUUGCUGACAGACACGCAGAGGACAUGUUUUUACUCACAAAAUUGAGAUGCAUGGCCACUCAAUUCAUUAAAAUGCCAAAUUUUUAGAGUUCACGCACUCUGCGUUGGCUAUCUUUUCUCCACAAGGUUUAAAUUGCAGCCACAGACAGCCUUUUUUCCUUGCUUUUUGUAUGUUGACCGAUGCAAAGCAACACCAUCAACAAAGCAGAUCAGCUAAUCAAUGGAGCUUCGCCGGAUUAAGAUUUCAGGCAGGUGUUCGACAGCUGCUGAUCAGGAUUGUGGCCAUGGCCACGUGGUCCGUGCCUUCGAAUUGACUGUGGGAAGAACACGCUCGGCACAAGUGCAUUGGCCUACAGGCUACAGUCACUCGUUGUUGAAGAACUCCAGCAUCAUCUGCUUCUGCAGCAAAUGUGUUGCAUUUGUGCAGUACUUUUACCAAAGGAUGAAGAUACUUUUGCUCUGAUAGAAUAUUUACCCAUAAUUUUGACACUUGCUUAUUCCAUUUGUCUUUUCAAGAAGAUUUAAAAUUUCGAUCUGGAUACCUAUACUAAGCACUAAACUAUGAAAGAAUAUUCAACCAUCAUAUAUUUUGGCACUAGUGUACUGCAACAACUAAAGCGGGACUUCCCAUUGUCUUUCCACCACUUGUCACUAUCACUAUGAUAAAGUUUCCGCGUUUGUCUAAAAAAACAGUCUCUGUCUUCUACAUUGGGGGACUUCUACUUCAAUUAGUGGUCAUAUGCAGCAAUAUUUCUAGCCUUCAUUGUCACAUGAGGAUCCAAGUCGCCACAUCAACACCUUUUUGUUUGUCACCUAAGAUAAAAAGAAAAUUUAGCUUAAGUGCUAAACUUUAUCGGGAGUUGAACAGAGUAAGUGAAAAAGGUAACAAAAACGUGCUACAAUAGCAGGAACAAAUAGGGAUGGACAAAUAUUGCGUUUUCCUGCCAACUUAAGCAGAUUAUAGGGCCAGGCCAAGAUUGUAAUCAUAAGGGAACGUCAACUAUCCAGUGCUCACCUUCCUAACCUUCCUAGGAGUUGAAGUUUCUUCAUCUUCUGAAUAAUCACGUUCACCGUCUGAAUCAUCAAGAUAUCAUUUGCGACCAUCAUAGUUUGUCCAUCUCCAAUAUCCCACGGAACUAUUAGGCACCUGUUGCCCAUACAACCUAAGAUGAGAGGUGCAUCAGUAUUUAAGCCUUCACAUCAGACAACACACAUUUGUUUUCUCCAGCCUCAUGAGAAUGGGAUGCAUGAUUAAUCAGUUAUUCAAAACAGUUGUACUGUCACCAACUCUUUGCAUGCUGCCACAAUUAAAGCAUUUACUUUGCAUUGUUGAUGGACACGCAGGACACAUGUAUAGCCUAACAAAUUUUUGAUGCAUGAUUUAGUCAGUUACUUGAGAUUUAUGCCAAAUUUGAAGUGUGCAUUAGGUGCUUCCUCUUGUUCUUUAUCACGGCAAGUUGAGAGCUUGCAUUCACUAUCAAUCAACAAAAACUAUACCCAAGACAGAGGCUGGAAACAAGAAACUAAUAAGCGUGCAGAGAGCAAGAAACUAAUAAGUUUAGCAAGAACAUAUCUUAAAAAAAAUGUGAUACAUGCGAAUGAGACUGUAGCCCCAAAGUCAUAGAAUUACCCCAUCACAAACUCUUGGUCCACUACAAAACAUAUAUCCGUCUUGUACCAGCCAGUUACAUGAUUAUCAGCACAUUACGGAGCACAGAACUACUAAUUCCUCAAGGUUUGAUGCUUCUUAUGAAUUAUCUUUGCACGGAGACUAGAGGGCUAACUCACUGCCAAAAGUCCUAAAACAAAGGGCAAGCCAUUAACAUUGUUAUGAUUUGUGACUAACAAAACCUACAAAUAAUAUCACAAUAAAAUCUUUUAAUUAAUUGAGAAAAAUUUCAAAUAAUUGCCAAGCGGUCUCCAUACUUUGCAUAACUUUAAGCAAGCUUGAGCCAACAACGACAAAGAACGAAAAAGCAUCAGACAAGAUUGCAGAAGUUAUAGGUGCAAACUCAGCUAUCUUGCAUACACCUUCCGACUAGUUCUAAUUUGUUCGUCUCACAGAUCAUCUUCCAGAAGCAGCGAAGGGACAUAUGAUUGUGAUCUGUAUGGUUUGGUUAUCUCCAAUAUCCCCACUGAAUUUUCACCAUAUAUGCAAUCCAUCUAUCUAAGGUAUGAUUUGCAGGAGUAUUUAAGGGCUAUCAUCAGUCAUAUGCAUACAUCUCCCCUCCACAAGAAUGGGAUGCGUGUGAUUACUGUCAUUCAAACCGUCUGACCAACUGUCGCAACUACUCUUCGCACGGUGCCGGAUUCCAAGCUUGUUUUGACAGUUUCAUGUUUCUGCAUGUACUCUGCAUUGGCUCUCUUUUCUCAGAAGAUGCAGGGCUGUGAAGACUAUAUCAUCGAGCUUGACGAUAACAUGUUUCUGCAUCUUGUGACGAGGAUCCCAUGCUGCACGAUCGACACAGCAGCAACACUAUCAACAAGCUGAUGAGCUCAUCAACGUAAUCUUGAACUGAUUCAGACGGGUGUUGGACAGUUGCUAGGCGAAGCAGGCCGGUGCGUCGGUCUGGAGCUGUAUGAUGACCCGGUGCAACUCUGAAGAAAGCAGGCUGCCGGUGGAAGCUCCGGUUUUCUCGAUGAAUGCGACGAUCGACGAGGCUGCCACUUGCAUUGCCCAGCGAGCGACCUCCUCCGGCGAUGCUCCGGGCUCGCAGUCUGGCACUAGCUCGGGCUCCUCCGGCUGCCGCGCCACGCUCGGGUCUCGCGGUUCACCCGGCCUAAGCCCUCUUCCAUGGCGCCGCCGAGCUCCCGCGAGGGCCGCGACUGCCUUGCGAGGACACCAUGCAUGGCUCCGCUGGCGCUGACACCAUGCACAUCUACCAUCCGACGGAUAGAAAGGGCCGGGUGGACGGUAUUUCAAAUAUAAUACCGUCCAUCUCCCACACUCCUGCUCGUCGCAAGCCCGACGCCUCCGCUGCUCUCCAUGGCUCGCCGGAGCGCCACCGCAUCAGGUAGGCUUGUCACUCUCAUCUCCGUCCUCCAGGAGACCAUGACCGGUGAGCUCUCCUUGGAUCCCUGGCCGCGUGCGCCACGCCACGCCCCUGCCGGCCUGCCGCCUGCGCUGACCACCGCGCGUCCACCGAGGCUACAUGCCUACGACAUCGCCGAGCAGGCACCAUCUAGGUCUCCUGCCGCGCCGCCGCAUGCCUGUGUCCUGGCAGCAGCCACGCAAUGCCCGUCGCCCCGGCCCCGACCGCCUCAAACCACGCGCGGCGAGGGCCACGCACUACGACAGUCGUCACAUUCACCACGACAGUCACCGGCGGCCCAGCGAAACGAGCAACUUGCUGAUGUACGCCGGCGACGACGCGCGGUAUUUGCAUUCAGUGUCCUCCUUGGUUGGAGCCCUGCUGCACGAAGGUUGUCCAUCCAGCUGGGUCGUCACGUCGGACUGCUCCGCUUGACAACGUCGAAUUGCAUUAGCAUGUUAUAUGAACAUUUUGACUCAUAAUAAGAGGAAUUAACAACACGCUUGGCAAACGUCGUCCAAGCUCUGCAUCUCAUCGAGGCUUAUCAUUAUCAUGCAUAAACACUGUUGGCGUAGAAUUCAUUUUAUUUCCUGCCCGCUGGCGUACAGUCGUCAUUGUGCAGUCACUCGUUGUUGUGCAAUUCCAAACUCUGCAAGCCUCAGAUACUUUUGCAACAAAUGCGUUUGCAUUUGUGCAAUCCUUUGCCAAAGGAUGAAAAUACUUUGCUCAGUUGAUGAGUGGAGUUUUUUUUUUACCCCUCCGGGUACGGAGCUGUGAGCUGUGAUUCAGUUAUAGUCAAAUGGCAUCAACUUUUGCUUGGUGCCAGUGCCAAAUUUGACGCAACGCAACAACCUCAUCGGCUUCUUUGUUUAAGACUUGAAUGAUAGAUUCUUCUGGAGACAUGAAUUACCCUGUGCGACUCCGAAGCAGAUAAGCAGCGAAGGAGCUGUGUGAUGAUCUCGUGCAACUCCGAAGCAGGACGCUGAACGUGACCAUAUGAAUGUGCCAGUCGCCCAGCGACGUUCACCGGCAGGGCUCUGGGAUCGAUCGGAGCUUGGCAGUCAGUGCUCCAGGCUUGCAGCCUGGCAGUUGGGGCUCUUCGGGCCGCGUCACGCUGUGCUUUGGCCGCUCCAACAAACCUGGGUCCUCCACGAUGGCACUGUUAACAAAAAAAUAAUAAAGAGCAUUAUAUUAGACACGGUAGAAUCUUAAGGAAAAAAUGUCAAUUUAUGUGGUGCACACCUUCUUUGGAGUUAGAAUUUGAACAUAUUCUGGAUCAUGUCGAUGCUCAUCCUCGGAGUUGUCACCUUGAACGAUUUGGCAAAAUUUGGGAUGUGAAUGUUGUAGUUUGUUCAUCUCCAAUAUCCCACGGAAUUGUCAAGCUGCACCUAUAUGAUCGGCCAUGCCAUGCAUGAUCUAAGAUGAGGAUGAGAGGUGCUCCCGCAGCUAGAGUUAUUUAAGCACUCCGAUCGGUAAAGCACACAUUUUGUUUCUGUCACCUCACAACACAAGUAUGGGAUGUACGAUUACUCGGUCAUCUGAAACAGCUGAUCAACUGCCACCAACUGCUUUUGUGCUGCAUAUUUGGACGCGUUUAGUUAGUUCACAUUGUUAAUAGACACGCACAACAUCUGGAUGACCACAAACAUGUGAAACUAGAGAUGCAUGGUUUAAGCUAGAAAAUAUAUCCAGGAUGAAGGCUAGAAACAAGAAAUUAAGCAUGCGGAGAGUAAGUGGGGGCAGGCUAUCCAAAAAAGAGAUGAGUAUUCAUAUAUCAUGACGAUGCAUUCUCAAAAAAAUGGACGAUAAAGCUUUAUAUACCCGGCAUGGACUUUAUUGAUGACAGAAAUUGGCAUGGUUAAGGUUUGCCGAACUGCUUGGGCAAACUAGCAUGGCCGGUUUCCCAAACCGGCUAGGCCGAUUUUGGUAACAUUGUCAAACUCUAAAUUGGACUCCACCAUUGUGUAGAUCCUGUAGCCUCAGAGUUCGUAUCAAAGAUAAAAGGAACAGUAGUAAAUGAUUACGUCCUGAAUAGCAUGAUUUCUUUAAUAUUCUACUAACAAGUUGUUUUACCAUCAUUUGGUUGUAAAUAAACACGCAGUCAGGUGUGAUACAACAGAUGUGAUGAAAUUAUGAAAAUAUUUCGAGAGAGCUUGUUUCAUUUGGUUCGGUAGCUCCAUUAUUCAUCUCAAAUCUUCAUCUUGAUAUUUUGUGUCCUUUAGAAUAAUGUUUAGCAUAUCAUCAUUAUUUUUUUUGUUUAUCUCCAGUAUCCCACGGAACUAAUUGUCAAUUUGCACCUAAUAACACCCAUGCAUCCUCUUCAUCAAAGAAGGUGAAAGAGCAAGAGUACAUAAAUGCACUGAUUAGUACAGUCACACAUUGUUGUUCAAUUCCACACUGCUCUGGUACUUGUGCAGUACUUUGCCAAAGGACGAAGAUACUUUGCUCUGGUAGAAUAUUUAUCCAUAAUUUUGAUACUUUCUUUCAUUUGUUUUCCUUAAAGAAUAUUCAAUUUUUCAUCUUUAGAUUCAAUUUGUAAAAGACCUCUGAUCAAGCUGAUAAUUAGGCUUGCCUUUCUUGUGAAGUACGUAUCAACCUACUAAACAUUGAACGCUGAAGGAAUAUUCAACCAUCAUUUUAUUUGGGAAUGUGUGUCUAUUACAACAACUAAAGUGGGACCUCACAUUGUCUUUCCACUAGCUACCACAAGUAUACAAUCUUUGUCUUUCAUAUCGUGGGAUUUCUCAUUUGGCUAGUUUUCACAUGCGGGAACCUUUGUUGCCUAGUUUACCACAUGAAGAUCCAAGUGGCCACAUCAGCAUCAUUUUGUCAUCGGACAUAAAAGAAAAUUCAGCUAAAGUGCUAAGCUUUAUCGGUAGUUGAACACAAAACAAAACUCAAAAAAGGGUAACAAACAUGCAAGGAUCGAUAAAAAAAAAAGAACAAACACAGUUGGACAAUACUGUCUUUUCCUGCCAACUUCAGCAGAUUGCAGUGACAAAGUUAUAUGCACUAGGGAAGACCAACUAUAUAUCUGGCGCACACCUUCUAUACGAGUUGAAGUUCUACGUCUUCCAAAUAAUCACCUUUCAUCGUCUGAGUCGUCGACCAAAAAGGGGUUGAGAUGCUAUGAUGCGAUUACCAGUUUGUUAAUCUCCAACAUCGAUCCCACGGAAUUGUUAGGCACCUAUUGCCCAUGGACUCUGAGAUGAGAGGUGCAUUGGUAUUUAAGCACUCACAUCAGACAACACGCUUUUGGUUUCUCUGGCCUCAAAAGAAAGGGGUGCAUGAUUAAUCAGUUAUUCAAAACAGCAGCUGAUUUACUGUCACAAACUCUUUGCGUUCUGCCAGAUUUAAAUCAUUUACAUUGCAUUGUUGAUGGACAUGCAUGCAGGACACACAUGUAUAGCCUCACAAAAUUUGGAUGCAGGAGUAAUAUUUAUCUUUUCUAUUGAAGGAAAACUUGCUAUUAAUGAUACAUCAUUUGACUUCAGAAUUUCAUAGACCAGAUAAUGCAACAAGCGCUUGAAAUUUUAUUUCAGUAAUUUUAGAACUACAAUUCCCAGCAGUUUGCCUAAUCCAAGCUACCUGAAAACUGACAAUUUUUAGGUGGUUGAGAAGAUGGGGAAAUUCAGCAUAGCUACUAGGAAACUGACACCAGCUGCUUUGUCUUUUGAAAAUGCAAGUAGCACUGUCAACAAAUAAAUAGGCUCGUCAAUCAAGAAUUCGCUUGAUUCAGACGGGUGUUCAGUUGCUACUUGCUAGACGAGAUUGCAUCCACAUUGGCGUUCAGUCCUUGGAACCUCAGCUGCAAGCCUGCAUCAGAAGAUAAGCGGCGAAGCAGCUGUGCGAUAACCCCAUGCAACUCCGAAGCAGGCCCACGAACGCAACCACGAAUGCUGUCCCCACCAGGCCACCAAGCCUGCGCCCUCCGCCGUGACACUGUUAAAAAAAAUACAAAACGGGCAUUAGAUAGGGUAGAGUCUUAAGAAACAAUUACCAUCAACUUAAUUAUCUGGUGCACACCUUCUUGGGAGUUAGAAUUUGAUCAUCUUCCGCAUCGUAUUCACACUCAUUCUUAGUGUUAUCACUCUGAAUGAUCCGGAGGAAUUCGAGAUGUGGUUGUUGUAGCUUGUUCAUCUCCAAUAUCCCACGGAAUCGUCAAGCUGCGCCUGUCUAAUCGUCCGUGUGCAAUCUAAGAUAAGAGGUGCUGGCAGCGGUAUUUAAGCACACUCAUCGAUGAAUUAAGCACACAUUUUUGUUUCUAUCACCUCACAACUCACAAGUAUCGGAUGCAUGAUUACUCUGUCAUCCGAAACAGCUGAUCAACUGCCACAGGCUCUUUGUAUGCUGUAAAUUUUGAGGCGUUCAGUUCACAUUGUUGGUUGACAUGCAAAACAUAUGGAUAAUCCCAGACCUCAGAAACUUGAGAUGCAUGGUCUAGCCAGUCAUAUAUUCCAGACUGUUCCCAAAUUUGUUCGGUGAAUGCGAGAGAUCUUGUUCAUUGUCAAUGGUUGUAUAAAUGGCACAUGUAAUUUUUUUAACAGUAUGUAAUAUUUUUCACACGUAGGAUUUGUGGUACAACAUUGUUCCAAUAAUAAAAAAAAUAUAUUAAAAUCAAUUAAUGAGGAGAAGGAUGAUCAAGGAACGGGUGGGGAGAUGCAUGAAACAGAGCAGUAUUAAAAAAAAUAAUGUCUAAAAAAUAUACCAUUAGGAUUAGUGGGUAGAACAUGAGGAAUUACUCUGUCAUCACUAGUGUCCCCUGUUGCAAUCCUUGGCAAGCUUUCGUCAGGAGACAAGACAGGCCCAGCCGGCGGCGACGACUAGCUCAGAGGAGCUGCGCCAGUUGCCCAGCGGCUCCAGAGGCAGGGCUCGCCGUGGAGCUCCCCACGCCGCUCUGCACUGGAGGUCCACCCGGCCAGAGCCGGCCUCCGCCAUGGCGCCGUCCAUCCCCCGGCCAGCCUGGCGAGGACGACGACCGGCAUCCUUUAUGCGAUCCGCGGCCGAUCUCACCCGCACAUCUCCCAUCCUAUGGCUACAAUGGGCCCAGAGGGUGGACAGUGUUUCCCCUGGAGGAAAAAAAAUUGGGUGCAUCCCGGAUGCAAAAAGCAUCCCGUGCAUACCCUGGACCCCCCUGGUUGCUGCAAGCGCGCCGCAUCCGCUGCUCUCCGUGGCUCGCCGGAGCGCCGCCGCGUCGCGGGGGUUUCUCCCCGUCAUGCAUGUCCACUCUCAAUAACUCCCAAUGGUUGCAGCGGCCAUGACCGGCGAGCGCUCGUCGCGACGCCGGCUCCUGCCCGCGUGCGCCGUGACGCGCCUCGCCGGACACGGUUUCGCCGUCGCCGGCUGCUUGCCAUCGAGCUCUGCUGCUGCUGCCACACCCGCUGCACGCCAUGGCUCACCGGCCUGCGCACCGCGGCGCCCACGGCGAGGCACCACGGCGUGCCCAGCCCCAUGAGCUGCAGUGGCACGAACGCUCCCCGCUGGUCCAACAUUACAUUAGCAUUAUGCAUUUUACUCUAUGCGUACCAGUAGGAACAACAACACACUUGGCACAGUUCCAACUUCCAAUCACUGCAUAAACACUGUCGUAGGAUCCAUUUCGCCUGCUCACUGGCCUACUUGUAUCAGCUGCUGUGAUGUUGCAACAUUGUGUUGCAUUUCUGCAGCCUUUGCCAAAAGAUGAGUCUUUUGCUCUGAGAGAGUAUCUGCAAAUAAUAUUUCGAUGUUUUCUUUUUUUGAAAAAGAAGAUUGAUGUUUUCAUUCAGCCAACCCUUUAUCAUCAGCUUGAUGUUUAAUUUUCAUGCAGUCUAUCUUUCUCUUCUGAGUUAUAUGUCUACUAAGUACUAAACUCUCGAAGAACACACUGUUCACAAUUGUCCUUAUACCAGCUUUCGCUAGGAUAUGGUCUUUGUCUUUCACAUUGGGGAACUUCUCCUUUGAACAGUUGUAGCAUUCAUGAAUCUUUGUAGCAUCCUUUCUCAAAUGAGUAUCCCAUUUGCCACAUUAAAGUCUUUUUUGUCACCUGGAAUAAAACAAAAAUUCAGCUAAAGUGGUCACUUUUCGUUGCUAGUUGAACACAAAAAGGAGUAUGUGAAGAACAAGCAAGAAAGGGUAACAAGCAUGCUACAAUGAGAACAAACAGGGUCAACUAAUGCACACCUUAUUAGGAGUUCGAGUUUCUUCAUCUUCUGAAUGAUCACAUUCAUAGUCUGAAUCAACAGCCAAAAAGAGGAGGAAGACUUGAAAUAGGGAUCAUCGUAGUUUGUUCAUCUCCAAUAUCUCAUGGGAUUUUAGACAUCUAUUGGCUCGUGCAACACAAGAUGAGAUACAUGGCUAUUUAUGCACUCCUAACAGACAUCACACAUUUGGUUUCUCUCUUAUCAUAAGAAUGGGAUGCAUGAUUAAUCAAUUAUUCAAAUCUGCUAUCGACUGUCACCAACUCUUUGUGUGCUACCAGAUUUCAAUCAUUUACUUUGCAUUAUUAUUCAUAGACUACACAUCAUACAUGGACAACCUCACAAGAAUAAAAAAAUAUAAUAUAUAGAUCAUCUGAUUAGUGGAGUGGGGAUUUAUGUUUUGUUAUCUCACCUCACAAGCUUCACGUGCUUCAUUCAGUUAUAAACUUAUAAUUAAUCAUUAGUAACAGCUGAACAAUUGGACUCAACUCUUAGCUUCCUGCCAAAUUUGAGGCUGCACCUUUAUCAACCAAGCAAUCUCUCAGAAUAUGAUAUAGGUGCAGGGUAUUUAAGAACUCUAAACAGUGAAUAACACAUGUGUUUCUUUCACUUCAGAAGAAAAGAAUGGAAUGCAUGAUUUACAGUCACUCAGAACAGCUGUUCAGCUAUCAUGAACUCAUUGCCCCAUGAAAAAUUUCGCAUUUCUAAACAGUCAUUUAGAGCUUAGACUAAUAAAAGAAGCUUAGGACGAGUCACUAACGUUGUUCUUGUUGGUGGUGGUGAUGAUGGCGAGGAAUCUAGCUGACGUGUCGUUAACGCUGCUUAUGAUUUGAGCCGGUGUUUUUGCUGCUGCUGUUGAGCACAGCAGUUCGUCCUUGAUUCCAAAAAUCUGCCUUAUUAGCUGACCUUAGCAGCUGGCGUUGUUCUUAUAAUUAUUAAAAAUCACAUAUAUCAUACAAAUAAUAAAAUCAUAAUGCUUCAUUAAGAAGGGAGACCCACUCCCACAAUUACUUAAGAUCUAGUGCUGUUCUGCGCAUUCGAAGCGAGAUAGACAGACUUCCUUCUCCCCAAUAACUAGAAAAUAGAUGGAUCUGAGUAAGUGUUUGCUUCAAUUGGCCUCCAUACUAGAAAAUAGAUGGAUCUGAGUAAGUGUUUGCUUCAAUUGACCUCCAUACAGCUGAAAAAUUCUCUUGCAACAUGAGGGCUUUCAUUGUUAUCGAAUGCCUUUGCCAACAAGAAGCCAAUGCAAGCCUCCUCCAUUGUUGUUGACAUUGUUUGUUUAUCUCCAAUAUCCCAAAUGCACGAGCGUUAGUUAUCAGAUUGAACCAUUGAGACAUGUAUGUAUUCUCUCUAUGCACAAAUGAAGAAGGUGGAGAGAAUUAAGGGUAUUUAAGCACUCUUGUCAGUGAAGUAUGGAUCACCUUGGAUUCUCCCACCUCACAAGAUUUGGAUGCUUGAUUGAGCCAGUCAUAUAUUCAAAAAAGCUGACCAGUUGUCAUCUACUCCGAUGCUUAGCUCUCUAAGAGAACGCUUAAGCUGGUCAUGGUUUGGGAAUACUACAAGUCGCUGGGCACGCAUGCGAAUACUAGUACUAGCAGUAAAGAAGAAAAAUUAAAAGCUUAUUCAGAGAGGCACAAUCCAGACUCCAGAGCACAAAUAUGUCACUAACCUCAUGCUUCAUACUUCCCUCUGCAAAGAUUACAAUUACUGUACAGUACUCUAAUAAACUCACAGUAGUUCAUCAUCUGAAUGACAACUUAUUCGUUAUUCCUUAUUCUUUUGUGCUACUACCGACGAAUGCGACGCGGAUGGCAAAUGUGCCAGCAAUUAAGAUUUCCUUUCACCAAAUAACUAGACACUGGAUGAACUUUGGUUCGGUUUAGGCAGACCCAAUUGAGCUGAAAUCUUUUCCCCUUGCUAUUUUCUGUGCCUCAACCAAAAUGGGAAUACCAGAGCUCCUAAUGCUAAUGCCAUAGUUUGUUCAUCUCCAAUGUCCCAGACAAUAAUGAAGGUGAUCAUGCUGUCACAUUCAAUUAUUCAACCAUACGUUCUCUCUAUGCACGAAUAGGGAGGUGCAGGGAAGGUAUUUAGCGCGCCACUUAUCAAUGAAGUAGACGUGUAUGGAUCCUCUCACCUCACAAGAUUUGGAUGCAUAUAUUUAGCCACUCAUUCAAAAUGGCUGGCAAUCAAGCUGCAAUCUACUAGUUGCCUGCCUCCUCCAUAUUUGACAUGUUUUCUUCACGUUGGUAGGCAUGCAGAACACAUGGAAGGUAGAGAUCCUUUAUUUAAGAGUUGAUGAUCAAGGUCCUUCAGGAGUCCGGAAUUUUUGCUUUGAUAGCAUGGAACAUGCAAUGAAUUUGCUCCAUGGCGUUUCAUAACUCCAAUUUCUAUACUGGAAUCCAUCUCAAAGAACAACUUUUAAGUAUGUAUAAUGGAUUAGUUUAAAUCAAGAGCCAUUAGUCUGAGCCUUCCAGCCAUCUAUUCUUUCUAUAUGCACAAUGAACGAGGUAGCUAGAGAGUCUACGAGGUAUUUAAUUAGAUUAACCACUCUCGUCAGUGAAGUAUUGAUCACCUUGGAUUCUCGACCUCACAAGAUUUGGAUGCUUGAUUGAGCCAAUCACUCGGCCGGGAAAGCUAAGGUGACUAGUAGUUGCCAUCUACUCCUUGCCUGCUUGCCCUGCUGCCCUUUUUGACGUGUUUUCUUCUCAAUGGUAGGCAUGCAACACAUGAAAGAUGGAGAUCCUUUGUUUAAGAGUUCAAUGAUAUCGAGGUUUUUUAAUUUAGGAGUCGGGAACCACUUUAAUUUGCAACAUAUCAUGCUGAUGUUCUGGUUUGUUCAUCUCCAAUAUCACAAGGAAUGCACGAAUGUUAUCAACCUGCACCUUUCAGGCAUACAUUUUUGCUAUAUAUGCACCAUGAGUGAAAUGGUAUUGUUUAACCACUCCAUGUAUGCAGUCAAGAUGAGAUGCGUUGAUAAUCUCGGUUUCUCUCACAUCACGAGUCACAAGAUUGGCCUUUCUCUCACCAUCACAAGUCAUUUGAAACAGCUGACCAGUUGUCAUCUACUCCUUGGCUGCCUGCUGCAUAUUUGGCAUGCUUUCUUCACAUUGGUUGGCUUGCGGAACACUUUUUAUUUUGAAAAUAGAAUUAUCUCUAGCCUCAGCAACCACACACAGCUGAGUUGUUACAGCAAAUUCAGGUUCAAAGGUGAUCACCAAAUUAGAAAUAAUAGUUCACCAAUUUUAAGGAAAAUCAUAAGUAAAGUUUAUUAUUGCUUCUCCAUCCAUUCUUAGCGAAGAUAUCCAAAACGAUGACUUCCACUGCUUUGCUUGCCGCUCGGACUGAUUCCCUAGUAUCUUUACACUGUAACAAGGACCAAAAUCGCAGCCAAUAAGCUCCCCUGAAUACAACCUGUAUAAAAGAGGUGAAUUUUUUUCUCAAAAAUCAUAUCAUUAUGAGCACACCAAAUCACCCACAUAAGAGCAGGAACCCCACAGAGAUCAAACUUCUUGUCUUAUUCUCCAUGCCCGUUAACCAAUUCCGCAUCAUAUGAUUUAUUGAUUUAGGUGGGGUUAACCCAGUAGCUAUAUUAACAAGACUCCAAAUUGCAGAAUACACAGAAGAUGGAGAUUGUUUGUUCAAGAUUUGAACGAUAAAGGUCCUUUGAGGGUCAGGAAUUUCUAGGUUAAUUGAUAGAAACAUGGAACAUGCAUGAAUUUGCUCUAAUUUUUUUAUAAGAACAAAUUCUUUAUUCGAAAUCCAUUGCAAACAACAGCUUUGGAGUACAACGCAUUAAUCUAAAGAAUAGUAGAGAUUUGGAAGCUCCUUCUAUGGAGGGAAGUGAGUGGAGCUGGAGAAGGUUUCCAUCUUGAAUGGUACUUGCACAUUUUCUGAACAGAUUGGAGCCGUAGUUGUUAGACAUAUUUUUAGCACGCCGCGACAUCAUCGGCUACCCAAAAGCCAAAGAGAGAGAAAGAUCUAGAGAGAGAUGAUGAGCACAGUGGCACAGUGUCUUCAGUCUCUCUCGCUGCCAGCGAGCAGGAGUAUACUGACGUGAAGCUUUUCUUGUCGCCAUGGGUGAGUAGGCUCGUCGCCGUUGCUGCACCGUUGUCCUCUCUGCAGGAGUACUCUUUUGGUUGGGGUCUCCUUUUGCUCUGCGGCCUCCACGUUUGUACUGCUGUCUCGAGCCCUCGACGACGACGGCGGUCCAGAGGACUGCAUGCCCGUUUGCUCAGUGACGGCCGGACGGGAUCCUAGCGGGAUGGGAUUCGAUGCGAAAUCAAAUCUGAUAGUAUCUUUUAUUAUAUUAUAACUAGUAAAAUACCCGUACGUUGCUAAUGACAUUUUAUACCAACACAAAUACUGCCAUAUUCUUUUUUUUUCCUUUCGGUUCCCAUAACAACUAUAUCCAGCAUUUAACAUUUCCUAAGUUUAAGAAGGUUUUUAGUGGCUACUUGUUACCACGCAUCAAUUCUAACAUUUAAGAGCGAAAACAUAUCACAUUCAUAUUUAAGCAGUACUCCUGUCAGCCAUAUUGUUUGCUUGAUAUUUUCACCAUUACCCAAAGAAUGAGACACCCCAGCCAUUUGAUCGUGCAAUUUAAGCAGAAAUGCCACACCCGGCAAGAACUCAUAAAGUCUAGCAUUCUGUGCUUUUAAGGAUCGCCUUUGGUUUCUAGGACUCAUGGCUAUUUUGGACUCCCUUUGGAGCCUCACUUCAAGGAUUCUAGUCCUCUCAGCAGCAGCUGUUCUUUCUUUUUCAAUUCUUGUUGGUGCCUCUCUUCAAGCAUUCUUGUCCUCUCAGCAGCAGCUCUUUCAUUUUCCAAUUCUUGUUGGUGCCUCUCUUCAAACGUUCUUGUCCUCUCAAGGGCAGUUGCUCUUUCAUUUUCCAAUUGCCUAUAGGUGUGAUCAAGUAACAAGUAUACAUGAUUACACAUUGUUGUUCAUAGGGCCAAAAUUCUAUUAAAGAAACUUUUGAGGAAGCUCACUCUAUUACUUUGGAGUUCUUUCCCUUCAAUUGGCUUAUGUGAGCGUCAUAUCUCCCCAUGAUUCUUGUAGUACUCUAGAAUACGUGUUAGAAAAUUACAACCAAUAAUAGUCAUUACCUUCAAUCAAACUCGUGGAAGAAAUGUGUUUACCUCAUUGAACAAUGCGAGAAUAUCUCCACUCAGGUUAUCAUCAUCUUGUACAAUUAUCCUAGCAUGGAAUGAGCUGCUUGCCAUAACCGAGGUAUUUGUCAUUUGUACAGCUGGUGCUUGUCGCUGGUACUCAGUACCAGAGGUCGCUGGAGGCCCAAAAGUCUGUGAAUCCUGCUUGGGGGCUAACUGAUCAUGGGCAAGGGCAACCAUCUCCUCUGGGAUAGGUGGUGGUUGCCACACAAUCAAGGCUCCAGUCUCCGCAAAAAGAUGGCAUGCUGAGUAAAAGUCUCGACACCUGAUUCAUGACAAAGCAUCUCUUCCAACAGGAGCAAGAUUCUGAAAAAAGAAUGCAAUUUAAGGACUAUAAAAACCAACCCAACCUAUGAAAAUUAUGGAGAAAACGUAGAAAGUUACCAAGAUAGAAGACUCAUAAACUGAUUCCUUAGCUACCGAAGCCUCAUCAGCUUCAUUGAUCACCUCAACCUCUAUCUUCUGUUGCAGUGGUGUAGUUCUUCCUCCUAUAAUGAUAUCCACCACUGAAGAAAUGGUUGAUUCAGUGGAAACCUUUUCCUUCCUCUUCUUGUUCUUGUAGCAUGAAAUAUCACUGACCUGAUGUGUUGCAAGCUAUGAUCAGGUCUAUCAAUUGCAACCCAAAGCUCACUGGACACAACAACCUCCCCCUAAGCUGAUGGUAAUAUUGUUGAAAGCACAUUCAAGCUCCAAAGUACCAACAUCUAAUGUAAUUCAUUGGAAGGAAGCAAAAAAAAUUGCAGAAGAGGUAGAUAGAAAUACCACCAGACAAAUGAUUCCACCAACAAGAAAUAUCUCAAGGUGUUGGGAGCUGCUUCUGUGGCUUGAAGCUCGCCACAGCUGGAGCGGUGGUGGCGGGUAGAGGCGCACCGUCAGGAGGGUUGAUGGCGGCGCGAUUUCAUUGCCCCAUGAGUCGCCCCUGAACGGCUACGGCUAUCGCCUCGUCAAAAUUGCUACUCCCUCCAUUCUCUUUUGAUAGACAUAUUUACAAAUUUAGAUUUUCACAAAUGAUAGUCCUAUAUUUACUAAUAAUGUGGACCGCGGCAAUACAGUGCAUCAACAACGUGGAGACAUAGCAUCAACAAUUGGAGGACUAAUGAAAAAAAAAAACUUGUUUGCAUUGAUUAGAUGAUAAGCAAUGUUAUUUUUAUUAGUUAUUGAACUAAUGCAACUUGGGGAGAGAGAAAAACACCGCUCGUACCCCUCCGCGUUGCCUCGCAGGGCGACGGGAUGGGCGACCGCCGCCACCAGCCCAAAGGCCCCGCGCGAAGCUCAUCCCUGGCCGUCGCCGCCGUGGACGGCAAGCGGCCUGCGGCUCGCUGGCACCCACGCUCCUCCUCAUUUUGCCUCCUCCCUCUCCCAAUCUCUUGUCAGUUUACAAGAUGCAAAUCAGCCAGGCAACGUCCAAGCACUCUCCGUGCGGUCCUCCAUGGCUAGAUCCGACCUCAUGGCCCCCGGAUCUGGCUGUCAACAGUGCAGCUGGGGCUGUUGUGUCUUCAUCUCAGCAGGUGCGUGUUGCGGCGGCUGCGCUGGCAGCUUGUCCAUGGCCGGAUCUGGUGGUUCCCCGGUGGGGGCUGCUAGCUCGAAGGGGUGGCCGCGUUUUCAUCUUGGCAACUGCGUCUUGCAGAGGUGGUGUUUGCAGCUUUGGUAGGAUAGCUCAAAGCGAAAGCAAUGCGCGACUUCUUGUUGGUGCGGAUGACGAUGACGUCCUCGACGCCUCUUGGAGGUGUCGUCGUGCUCCUAUUGCAACUAUGAGAGGGUUUUGGUUGAAAAUCAUGCUCCGGUUCCACCGGAUAUGCAACGAUGGCGUCUUUGACGUCAUGUUCUACAUGUAGACGUCAUCUUUUGAGGUCUCAAAGGUAAUUGCAGCUACCAAGCUCAGGGUGAGGCCAUGGCGAUGCUUGAAGUUGAGUUAUGAUUGGUUGUUAUAUGUGGUUUAGCCACGUUUCGUGCCCUUGUGCUAGGGCGGGUGUUAUUAUUAGUGGUUAUGCCACAAUUCCAUCCUUUGUGCUAGGAUGAGGUGUUGUUAUCUGUGGUAAUGAUACAAAGUCCGUCCUUGUGCUUGGACGUAGUGUUUAAAGCCUAGUUUAGCUAGGUAGCCCGGUUUCCCCAAAUUAACCGAGCAAUGUUUGGUUUUUGCCUCGUUUUUUUUAAAAUGAAGUUGUUGAUCUGUAACUAGCCACAUCGUUCAAUACAAUUUAGGUGGGGAUGCUCUCCCUUCCGGUGACCAUUCGAAAAAAUAUUAGUUAUUGUGUUAAAGUGAAAUAUGCCUAUCAAAAGAGAAUGGAAGGAGUAGUAUUUUAUAACAUCAUUACUAGGUGAGUGUCCGUGCGUUGCAAUGGGGCAACAAACCAUAUAUACAGUAGUAAUAUUUUCCAGUGAUGCUACCAAAGGCAACAAACCAUAUAUACGGUAGUAAUAUUUUCCAGUGAUGCUACCAAAGAAUAAGCUCAUCAACCACUAAUGACAUCAUCAUUUAUAUAUGCAAUGUGUGUAUUCAUUUAAAUAAAGUAUGUACUUGUCACACCCACAACAAAAAUCUCGAUCGUUUUUAGACCUGGGACUAAAGAGGUUUUUGUCUCGGAUCUAGAUUUCGUAACCCGUGAAUGACACUUUAAUCCUGGUUGGUGUUACAAAUCCGAACUAAAGCCCAUUAGGACUUUAGUCUCGAUUGGGUCCCCCAUGGGUGAAUACAAAAUGAUAGCAUCCAGAUAUGCUGUGCAUGUGAGAUGGUAAGGAAACUAUGCACGAGGCAAGAGGUUGCGGGUUCGCAUAUUAUGCGUGAAAAAUCACGUGACUUGUUACUUUGGAUUUCUUCUUUUGUGAUGUGUAAUAGCAGUAAAACUCAGUGGAUUGGUUUCAAGUGAAAAAGAAAGUAAAAGCUCGAAUUGGAUCAUGCAAUGCCACAAUCCCACAACUACUGCUACCUACUUGUUCCGUUAUUCAUCCACGGGGACGAGCGACGCUAUCAUUUCUCAUCCAAAUGUUAAAGAGAAGGUUAAAAAAUUGUCAAAAUUUUCAGGCAAAUAAAGCAGCUAGCACAGCCUCCAAUGGGAGAAUUGGGUAACGAUAUAGGCGUUUUCAGUUCAAUAUAACCAGUACUCGCCAUCAAUCUUAAAUAUAACCGCUCGUCACGAAACAACAGUUCAAAAUGUUGUUCUUUCAAUAUUCUGGCAGCACAUACAAAUGUGAACCCAUGUUAACUACAUACCGAAGCUAGAAAAGAUCGAUUUGAUUCAUCUCCGAUUGAUAGAAGUGAAAUAAUGACACAUCGUGAAAUAAUUUCUGCUUCUCUCUUCUGCUGCCUUCUUCUUAAGCAUCCAAAAAUGGAUACUACAAUGGAACACUCUGCAUCUGUAGUAUCUUCAGCAACUCUUCCAGUGCCAUUUCCUGCUAUUGAGAAUAUUUCAUGCUACCAUUCCCUAGCUAGCUGCGGCCCGAUGGCUUCUGAAGUUGUCAUCUACCUUCUGAACAACGGAUUCAAAGUUUGCGUACCUUCUGAACUCGUCUCAUGCAAGGAAAAAGGAAGAAGAUGGGAGUUCUUGUCAAUUUGGGAUCCGGUCGCACGACGGAACAACCGUAUAGUACGCAGCAGGUUCCACCCCCCUCGGAAGCGAAUCUUCGAUCAUGAGCCACGCCGACGCCGGCGGCUGCCCCGAAGGCGGGGCAGUAGACCACAUCAGCGGUCUGCCAGACCACCUCCUCCACGACGUCCUUAGCCGCCUCCCGGGCACCGCCGCCGCCGCCGCGCGCACCAGCAUCCUCUCCCGCCGCUGGCGCCGCGUCUGGACCCACCUCCCCGCGCUCUCCCUCUGCGAAAGGGCUACGUCCAUGAGCUUCGACCUGAAGAUGCGCGUCCUGCGGUUCCCAGUACUGCCCCAGCACGCCGCCGGCGUGUUCAAGGCGCUGGCCACUCUCAAGAUAUGCCUCGCCCGCAGGGACGCCCCCACCUUCCUUGCGUCGCCUCCUCCUACCAGGCCGGCCCACUCACCCAAAAGGCCCAUCAGGCACCAGCUGCCUGCCUCUCCCCCAAUCGGCCGCUCGCUCCCCCAAUCGGCGGAAACGAAAUCGAAUCGAAAUCCCCAACCCUAGCAGGCGAGCGGCGAGCCGGCGGCCGUCCGAGGGCCGAGGCCGACGGGAGGCGGCCGCGGGAGGGGUGAGGGGGCUGCCGUGGCCCGUGGCCGCGGCGGGCGGCGGCACCGCGGCAGGCCGCAGGCCAGCAGCCACCCGCUGAGCGGCCGGGCGGCCGGCGACAUCCCGUUCCUGCAUCUGUGCAUCACGGCGGUCGGCGGCGGGCAGCAUUCGGCAUUGGCAUCGGCAAUAGGACUACUGAACAGGGUGAGGUGAGGACUCUGCUCUCUGCACUAGUCUCUGUUGGGUAGAUUGGUAGAAAAUUGAAUUGAUGUUCUUCAUAAUCAUAGAAUCAUAGUAAGCAUACCACAGGCUCAUUCAUCGAAAAUCAUAGAGAUUGUUAAAUAAAGUGUGACAGUAUGGCUGCAUUUAGUCCUAUAGAUAACUUCACUAGUGGGACAAAGACAAGUUGAUUAAGCUUGCGCAGUUGAUUAUCCUAAUGAUUUCUCAAGCUCAGAGAUAAACCAUUUUCCACCAGCACUUAAACUCUUCCUCACUGAGAUGCGUAGAGAUGAAAGGUUCAGAAAAGAGAAAAGUGAAAAGUCUUGCUGAGCUUUCCAUUAUGCUUGUUAAAACAAAGUUGCAUAAUAGACAUGAUGUUGUUUACAAGCUUCUCAAAUUGGUGCUAGUACUUCCAGUAGCAACAGCUAGUGUUGAAAGAAUCUUUUCCGCUAUGAACUAUGUGAAGAAUAAAUUGAGAAACAAGAUGGGGGAUCAAUACUUGAAUGAUUGCUUGGUCAAAUUUAUUGAGUGUGAGUUCUUUUUGAAAGUCAAGGAUGGUGAUAUUAUAAACCACUUUCAAGUCAUGAAGGAACGCAAAGUUAAAGCUACUCUUCCAAGUCAUGAAGGAAUCAAAAUAAAAAGUUAGAGCUACUAUGUAAUUUCUUUUAUGUAUUUUAUAACUUUGCUUAGUUUCUUCUAUGUUAUCUUAGACUUGAACAAUUUGUACCUUUAUUUCUUUGAUUAUCGGAUGUCGGUAUUGACACACUGUGAACUAUGGAUUUUUUUACUGUGAACUUUUUUUUGUUAGAUGGGAAUACCCAACUUUCAAAUCCUGGCUUCACCACUAUCGACGGCGUCCUCCGACGACACUACCACCACCAAUGUCUCCGACGAACACUUGAGUCCCCUGUCGUCGCCUUCCAUAUCCUUCGACUCUGUUUCCGCAUCCGAUGCCUCCACCUCCUCCUCAGUGGUCUCGGAUGGCUCCUCCAGGUCCGAACCCGUCGUUUCCAAGAAACCCCGCCUCCCCGUGCGCUCGUGGCUAGCCUCCGACGAGAUCGCGCUUCUCGAGGCCGUCUCGGAGCACCGCCAGAAGCACGGCCGACUGCCGUCGCCCAACCACCUCGCCGCGGCGCUCCGCGGCCGCCUUCGCGCGGAGGACCGCCUGAGCGCCGAUGAGAUCUCCAGGAGGCUGCGCGCACUCCGCUCCCGGUACGAUAAUGCUGUGCUCCGCAUGUCCCGCGGCACCAUCCCAGUGAAGGACGACGAUGUCACGAUCUACAAGCUCUCCAAGCUCAUCUGGGAGGGCACGCGCAAGGGAAAGAGGGAAAAGAAGACCCGUGCGGCCGACGUGCGCAAGGACCCAAGGGAGUUCGGCGAGUUGACAGGGCUGUACCCUUGCCUCUCAGCAGAGGUUGAGGCGAUUGACACAGGGAGCGGCGCUGCAGCCGCCGGGUUGCUGAAGAGGGCGUUUGAGCGCAUCGGCGAUGACACGGCGGCACGGCUGGAGGCGAAGGUGAAGAUGCAGCGGGUGGCAGAGGCCAGGGCGAGCGCAAAGCUUGACCAGCUGAGGACGAAUGUCGCCAAGGUGCUUCUCCAGUUGAUUGAAUGAAUGGUGAUUUCUCAAUCUUCUUUCUGUUGGUUGGUACAUGAAUUGCUGUAGGAAGACUUAAGCUUGGCUCAUUGGCAACAUUAUCAGAUUCCUUCUUGCAAAGUUUGAGGGCAAUAUAAAAUACAAAAUUCAGAAAUGUCAUGUAGCGAAUUGAGACCCAAAUCUUGAAAUUUCUCGUUUUGUACCCUACCAUUGUCUGAGCUGAGAAUCAGUUGCCUGCAGGAAAAAUAAUUUUCCCACAGCAUCAGAAUUUGAAGUAUGAAACUAACAUUUCAAGAUCUAUCCUUUCAUUCUCACUCUGCAUCAAUUGUCACUUAUUCUGCAAACUGUUCACCAUCUUAUGGAUUGGUGGUUUCAAGCUGCCAACACGCAUGACACCUUCUUAUAAUAGUUAAUUGUAUGCAUGACACACAACUUGUGGCCAAAACAUUCACAAAGCCUAUAUAUUGCAAAUGCAAAGUGUACUGAUAUUUCAGGCAUGCUGCAUUUUGCAUCAAUCAAUUUUGAUUAUCAUUUAGCGUUAGGGCAGUGUUUGGGAGGGCUUCUGCUCCCAGAUUACCAUCUAGAGCAGCUGGAGUUCAUCCAACUACCCACAGCUCUGAAGAAACGGUAUGAAAGAAGAAUGGUCCAGAGACACAAGUUAACUAGAGAAGUGGAGCAGGGUUGGGCAGCUGCACAAGCCUGCAUAAGGAGUUAUCCAAAAUGAUCUGCUUUGAUCCCUUUUUUAUGUUGCCUCACAUCCUGGGAGGCUGCGCCCGCCUGUAUUGCCCAUGUUUUGGAUGCCUCUGUUGAAGAUGCUGCUAUACCCUAUUCCUUUCCACCAUCUCGUCAAGGUGAUGCCCCAUAUCAUAUGGCAGUGUAGGUCCUGGUUACUAUGUGGUAAUAUGUGGUUUGGUUUGAUCCAUGACAAAUUGAAUCAUGAACUUAAAUGGAUGCCAGUAUUUGUGAUUAAUGUAAUGUACUUGACUGCUUUUGCACUAGUACACCCGUCAGGCCGCCACACAUAUUUGAGAUUGGAGACUGGAGUGAAUGACUCAGUGAAAAUCAAUACAUGAACAUGAAGUGUCAAAUGUAUAGGAAUUCGAAAGGAGAUUUUGCAUUGCAUGGAUGUGUUAAAAUUUGGAAAGCCAAACAUCUCAUUCGGUUGAUGUUGCAACAGAAGAUUUGGCAUUUUUGGUGUUGAUGUGGUGUCAAAGAUACCUGCAGAUUAGGCAUAGUCGCAGGUUUUUUCGGACAUGGAUAUUCCUCAUGUGGCUGUGGCCACACGAGUUAUCUAGUCCAUCGGUACAUUUCCUUGCUUCGAGAUUCAUGAAAGCCAGGGAUUCUGGGAAUGAAUUCGCGUUGUUGCUCCUUCCCUUGUUCUCCCUGCCGCAGAAAGUGGACUGGUUGUCCUUCCCUUCUUCUCCCUUGGCGGCAACGGAGGUGACGGCGGAGACACCUCCUCCAAGCUGCAGUGUGCUGACGGCUUGGCGACCUCGAGUGACGGCUGUCCGACCUAGGCAGGCGGCAGUUGUGUUCCAAGCGCCUCCGAUGCUGGUCAUUGUGCUGGGGAUUCAGAUCCCGUGCGCCUGGAACCAAGGAGUUGGGGCUUACGGCGUGGGAUUGAAGCUCCGCGAACCGGCGUGGUGCCUUCCUUGCUGUGAUGAUUUAAUCAUGGGUUGGAGCAGGGGAUUAAGGUACAUUGCUAAUUCGCAGCAGCACGGUGUUCCGCUGAAUCAAGGAAAUCUUCAGCGGGCUCAUUCUUAGAUGUUCAUGAUGUGUCUCUUGCAUAAACACUCCACAACUACCAAGGUAAUAAUCAACAACUGUGUUUUUCUUUAAGAUCCUGUACUACUGUCUUGUAAGUGAAGUUUCAUGCUUAGAUGUUCUCUUGAAAAGCCAAUAUUAUUUUGUCUUCCCAGCUGCAAACAUUGGUAUGGAGCACUGGCAAUUUUGGCUUUUAUUUCAGAUCUCUACGAAGUUAUUGUUAAGCAAGUGAGAACAAUGCUACAUCUUGCCUCGUUAUUGAUGCUUACAGGGGCAGUAAACUAGGAAUGAUGAUUACAGGGCCAAUAAAAUAGGCAUAGUAAAUUAAUUGACUAGUAUGUACAAUUUCUGGAUGCAGCUUGAAUUAUUAACAAUGUAUAAUUGCUGUUUGUCUUAACCCUUUCAAGGAAGCAUAGUGAGAAUCACCAAGUAGCACUUUGUUUAACUUUACUUCAUUUGAUAAAUCACCAAGUAACACUUUCAUAUCAGUGUUUAGUCCAUAAAUGAAUUGUGAAGUUCAUGUCAUUGGUUAAUAGGCCAACUAAACUAAGUAAUCCUAGACUUGCCCUUUACAUGACAGCUCUACUAUGCUGCUGAUUGUUGUUUUCCUAAUUGAGAUUACAAUAUGAUGUCAUUGUAAUUCAGUAAAUUUUCUGAUGUUAUCUCCAGUGUUGUAUGGUCUCACGGUGAUGAACUACAUGCUGAUGUUUGGUUUUCCAACUGUUCAGGUAUAGGUUGUUCUUACCAACAACUGUUGUAUGGUGUGGCGCAUGGAAAUUUGCCAUUUAGUAUUCCAGAAGAGCAAAAUCCAGUGACAAAUACUAAUGGUGGAGAUGCAAUUGGACCAGAUUCAGACAAUGCAAGUCCGUCUAUUGACACUGCUAAUAACGAAACCGAUGAACGGCACAUGGACAUUGGCUACCUGGAAAGUGAAGAAUGCAUGCCAGAUACUGAUGGAGAAUCUUACUGGGAUUGAAACAGAUGACUGGGAUGUAUUCUAUUCCACUAGUGAACUAGUGAAAGUUGGAGAAAAUAAAGGACCUGGACAAGUGAAUCAUGCGUGUAGUAAUGAUUCAGGUGUUGGCAAUGCUGUGGAAAAUAGUACCAUCAUUCCAAGGGGCGAAGAAAGUAACACGGGAGGAUGGAAAAAAAGGUCAGUACUUAUUCCAAGGGGCGAAGAAAGGAAGUUGGGUCCUCAACAACGAGGGCUAUCAAACAAUGAGAGAAGUUGUUUGCCAGAGACAGGUACUGGGUAUGGUUAGGAAUGUACUGGUAACAUUUAUUUGACCAGUUCAAUAAAUUUAGAUCAGAAUCAUUUUUAACCUGCUACUGGCCUUGUGCAGGGCUUCGACAAAAGGACCAAGAGCAAGACAAAAGGCUGUCACUGCAAGGCGAUGAGUAGGCUGCACCGUACAGAAGAUGAUGGUUGGUUCAUUUCAACAUAUGUGAAGGAGCACAACCAUGAGUUUUCAGAAACAGAUGGCAGAGAAACGGGAAUGGAAUUCACAUAAGAAGAUAGAGCAAACAACAAGGGACAUGGUCAAAUAUUUACAGAGUGCUAUGUUUGGAUUGGGCCAGCUAUUCAAUUUGCUUCCAUGAAUUUAUUUAUGUAUCUACUUUUAAGCUUUUGCUCGAAUUUUUGAGCGUGCAAGGACUGGCCAGCACUAGCUUGGGUCUUUGCGCAAGCAACUGCGUGGCAAGGAAUGGCUAGCGACGUGGCUUGAGCAGAAGCGGCGGAGCGCGAUGCAGGCACGCAGCUGCGUGGGGGCGGCGAGCAGGCACGCAGCUGCGUGGGGGCGGCGAGCAGGCACGCAGAGGAGCUGCAGAGAUUCAAAAAAAAAAUGCUUUCAAACCGUCACCAUGUUUGAUGAAUUUUUUACCCAAUUCAAACAUGAAGUCGUGGAAAAGUGUUACUAGAACUUACGACUGAUAUAUAUAUAUAUAUAUAUAGGGCUACAUGUUCUGUAUUGAAUUUUACUUGAAAAGCUGAAAGAAUUGAAAAUUAGAAAGAUCUGAACUUCGACCAAAACUCUCGAGCUUCAGAUCUGCUGCGCGCGCGUUCGCGUCCGGGGGUCAUUGGGCUGGACCGGUUGGGCGCACCCAAGUUUGUUCUUGUGCGCUGGAGCAUCGCCCAUCGGGUUUUCGUUGGGCCGGCAGGCAAGAUGCCCGGAGUCCAGAGAAAUCUGCCCGCCAUUCCCCGGUUCCUCUAUCUGCUGCGCCCGACCACGCAUGGACCAUUUCUGAUGCCCUUAGCUGUUUAUGCACCUGGCUGGCAAGCUUUGCACGAACUCAACGGACAAAUCUGAAGAACAAACACGUUCUCUGAUAAUCUGAUUUGGUUGCGCAAACGGUGAUAUGAUUACUAUGUAUCCAUCCUGGAGUUGGACGUCAGAAGGCAACCAGAGCAAAUGUAGGGGGAAUUAACUGUUACAUACUGCAGUGUACAACCUGGUUCAAAUCGUCCGGCAGUUUUACAUGCACUUGCUGCGAAGAAAACCUCUAAUACGAUUCAUGAAUCAACAUCACAGAAAAGCUACAUUACAAAGCUUAAUGAAAAAAAGAGGAAAAGUUCAAGUUGGAUCGUACAGUAGCAACACCAGCCCUAUCGUCGUUUCUGCUCCAGCAAUGCCCCACCCAGACCAGAGUCAGGAGCCCCUAGGCCAGAGUCAAGAGCAUGAGCAGCAGCAGCAUGACGGUUGGGGCGAGUCAGUUUCCUUGCGGAACAGCUGCGUGGGACAGCUGCACGGGCACACGCGCCGCAUCUACUUCAAGCAUCAGAUACAACAGCCACAGGAACGCACGCAUGAUUCUACAUGAGCAGCUAGGAGGAGUUUUGGUCAUUGGCAGUCUCUUUCUCUUUCUCUUCGGAUUUAUCGCCAGGGGUCGUUCCAUCUAGGAAGCGGACAAUGACAACUGUGAUGUUAUCGGAGCUUCCCCUUUUGGAAGCUUCCUGGAGAAGCUUGUCUGCUGCUUCCUGGGGGUCCUGAAUGGGCUUGACCAUGGCAACAGCUUCCUGGGAAAUAGAAAUUACAUCAGAUAGGCAGGCCUAGUGCAGAAUAUCAGAAGUCUAAACGAAAAUAUUUCAGUAAUAUUUUUUGGUACCUCAUUAGUGACAACAUCCCAGAGUCCAUCACUAGCAAGGAUGAGGAAUUCAAGGGAGCUGUCGACCACCUCCUCCUGGUAGUAACACAAAAAAUCGUUUUCAGAUGGCUAUGACAAUUGCUGAUGGGAUACAACCUACAUUUCUAGGCACUUACAAACUCAUAAUACUUCCUCAAUCCAUGAUAUGACUGGAAAAUCAUCCAUAAAAUCCAUAGAAAACAAAUCUAAGGAGACAAACCUUGAUUUCCGGGUCAGCAACAACAUACUGCUUCAAGAGCUUAUCACCAAAUGCUCUCGAGACGGCAAGAACGCCACCCACACGCCAUGUCCCUACAAAAUUCCAAUAAUUAAACAGUACAAAUAACAAUAACUGGUGUGUAAUAAGGUAGAUUCAGAGGAAGCAUUACCAGCCCACAUAACAAAGCCCCCAGCAUCCUCAAUUCUUUGUCUCUCAUCUGACUGAUCAGGUUUGUGAUCCCUUGAAACAGCAAUCGCUGCAGGUCAAAAUGAGAAAAGCAUCAGUAAACUGUUGACUAUCAAGUGCAAUGCGAGUAACUUUGAAUCCUGCUAACUAUGCAUCAUGGGGAAAUACUUGACCAGGAAAAGAUAUAGCACAUAAUAAUUUGAAAGCUUCUGAUGGAAGUGGAAGCAUAGGAACACAAGACACUGAGAUAUGUUAUGUUACAGACAAUAACUUACCCUGUCCUCCUUUACAAAUAACAGCUCUAGAAUCUCCAACAUUUGCAACAAGCAAACGAUCACCUACUAUAAUAGCUGUCGAGGCAGUUGAGCCAGCAUCUCGAGUCUGACUACUAUCAGCUUUCAAAAAUUCUGAAUCUGUGUGGUUGUAAGUUUCGGCUGCAGAAAAUAACAGAAGGAAAUCAAGGUCAACCUAUCUCUGUGUAUAAGUACAAAGUCCACAAUAGUUGAUGCGUGCGUACCAAUAGCAGCCUUGGUAUCAGUGAUGAACUUUGGGUGUUUAAUUAAAUUGCUGAAAAGAUGCUGCUUGACAUAUUCAGCUGCUCUCACUCCACCAUGACCUACAGAAACAGAAAACUAAGCUCACUUUACAACUCAAAAAAAAAAUCAGCUUCAUCAAGGACUAGGAGUGCUGACACUAUGAAAAACAAAGGAAUUGGUACUACUUUCAAUAUCACUAGGCAAUACAUACCAUCAUAUACGCCGAACAUUCCAACUUUUUCUCCGUCAACGUCAUCUAUCCUUGCCUCAGAAAAGUCCUCCAUCGAUGCUCUUUUCCCAGGAGAACUUGCAACUCCAUAAGUGAAGCGGCCAUUUGCACUAUUACUGCGAAGGGAAAUGUUCUGUCAACCAACUGUGAAUUCAAACUUAGGCGAUAUUGCACACUAUCAUAUAAAAACGAUAUUGCACUAUUACUGCAAAGGGAAAUUGUGGUGUAAAAACAUUGAACAUUCUGCCAGGCCGGUCAAGGACACAGGGCUGAUCAAUGAAAUCAGGUGGGGGAUCCUCUCCCCUCCCGUCAACCUUAAAAAAAAAAAGGCUUAUAAUACCAUUUAACACAUUAAUUCAACUAGUUAUCUUCUAGUAGAAAAACAAACAUAAGCACUAACGCUUAUAUUUAAGACAUAAUUAUCUGAUGAAUCUCAGGACAUAGUAAUCAGUUCAGCGCUUCCUUUUUGUACUCAAAGAGCACUGAUGCCAGGAAUGUUUAAUUUGCGAAGGGUGCAUUCUCUGAUUCAAGACAUCCUUAAGGUUCAGUAACAAAUAUAUAGGAAUCAAUACCGGGAAAUCCACAAUAAAGCAUGCAUGAAUUUUAGUAAGUGGGGAUUAGUAACAGCCACGGGCAAGGAGGUUAAUUGGCUAGGGCGCUCGGCAAACCAAAUGGAUGACCAAAAUCUUAGACAGAUCCUGACGCUUUGGCAUCAAAACAGCAAGCUAUGCAUCUUUGAUUUGGCCUGGUACUACACGUCCUUUGGAGGCAGGGGGAUCGGCGACAAGCAGUAACCAUCAAUAAAACGGUAAGUCCUCGCUCCUCAUCAAUGAUUGAAAGAGAGGAAAUCGAUGCAGGCAGAAGAAAACUCCUUAAUAAUGGUCCUAAAACAAUAGUCCGUCAUCUUUCCAUCUUCGUCGACAUCCAGUUACCAGGAACCGACACUACGAAUCGGACAGAUCCAAUUGAAAGGACGGCGGUUCAGCAGCUGAAGCAGUGAAGCCUGCUCUCUAAUUCGCCUGGAACCCAUAACCACACCGCCCCCAAACAGCCAGAGAUCACAGGCAGCACAACUGAUCCCUACGGCCAUGGAUCUCCGCUCCAAGGCACCAGAGCCUCCUAAAAAGCUAAAAGUCAACCAGAGGAGGCGGCCAAAAACAGAGACCGCGCGGCAACGAGAUCGCGGCACGGAGCAGCGAUCGGAUUUUCAGAACAGGGUGGACCACCCGGGCUCACCUGAUGUGGCCGGCGGCGGCGGCGUCCGGCGGCCCGUCCCCGUCGAGCCCCAUGCGUGGUGCCGCCACCUCCUCCGCGCGUUCCCCCCGGCAGCAGCAGGAACAGGAGGCCGGCCGCCCCGCGAGCAGGAGGAGGAGGAGGAGGAGCAGCAGCAGCAGCGAGAGGCGCGCGGAAGGUGGUGGUCCCCACGGCCCCUUGCGCAUGAAAAGGGCGGGCAGGAGGGAGGGGGUGGAAGAAGGGGUGGGGAGUGGGGAGGAAACGGAUGGACGAGGAGAGAGAAGGGGGUAGUGGGGAAAGCGAGGGGGGGGAGACGGGGAGGAGGAAGGAAGGAGAGUGGAUGAGAAUGAUCGGCGGGUGUCCUCGAGAUGCGAGGGACACGUGGGGAGCGCGGCGCGGCAGACGAGGUGGGCAAGCGCGUCAAGCAGCUGACCUGCUUGCUACAGGAGUUGAGUUGGGGGUGGAAAAGGCUAGGAAAUGCUAUUUCUCGGACUAAUUUAAGUUCGGUUCAUCGGAUAUCAACUAAUUAUAAAAUUAAUUGCAUAAAUCGUGACUAAUUCGUGAGAUAAAUUUAUUAAAUCUAAUUAAUUCAUGAUUAGUACUUAUUUACUGUAGUGUCAUAUGGUCAAAUCAUGAACUAAUUAGGCUUAAUAGAUUCAUCUCGUGAAUUAGUUUUCGUUUAUGCAAUUAAUUUUAUAAUUAACAUAUAUUUAAUACUUCUAAUUAGUAGCUAAGCAUCCGUUGUAACAUGAACUAAACUUUAAUCCCUAUUUCCAAACAAGACCUGUUAUUUCAAUCCGGUAAACUACAGUGAAAAAUUCGUGGAAAAAGUGAUUCGUGGAUUUAAUUAGACGGGCUUGAGAUGGAGGGGCAAGGUCCGUAUCCUCCAGCUGCUACUGCUAUAUUUCUCCAGGACCAUCCAUCGAUCGAUCGAUUUAUCCACGAGCUGUUGCGCUCUGUACGACUGUACAGCACCUCCCGUUCCGAGUUCGCUGGAAGCACUGGUGCUGAGCUGGCACCAAACACGAAUCAUGAUGAUGCCAGAUGGCUAGUUUCAUCAAGAAAAAAAAAGUAGGAGGGGAAAGCAGAAAAACAGGGGACCUUAAAUUUGGGGGUGUUUCAAUGGGGGCUCGAAAGGGGCCCAGCCCAAGCUGAAAUCGAUCUCCUCGCAAAGAAAGAAGAAGGCAUCAGGCCCACGUAUGCAUUAAUUAAUAUCUCAUUCCGCGGUGGGUUCUUUAAUUCAGACAUACCGGGCCCAAGAUAUUUGACCGCACUUGUAAUAGGGGAUCUGCGCGCCCACGAAAUAUGCUCCACCCAGGAAGUGUCAACAUGUUGGGCCCCACCAGCAGGCCACUGCGGCCAGUGGGCCCGUACAGGCCCGCUGGCGCAACAAAACCAACAAAACCAACGGCCCACGUCUGCUCGCGGUUUCAGCGCUCGUCGUCUUAUCCUUCUCAUUGCUUAACUAAUUUGUAUGCUCAAAUAUACCAGCAAACUCACCCCAAAAUCCAAAUCUCUUGUUUUCCUGUGAAUUUGUUUGGAUAAAUUUGAAGCGAAGCCACUUUCGAUUUGUAAUUUAUGUUCUUCAAAGUUCUUUGUGUUGAGGGUGCAUGCGAGUUUUUUUUUUUUUUUGGGAAAGGAGGGUGCAUGCGAGUUUUCGAGAGCUCAAACCGAGAAUCUCUCAACAACCAGGCUGCGACAGACGACGGUGAUGGCCUACGAGAUCGAGAAGGCCCUCCUCUUCCCUCUUCCCUCUUCCUCCUGCCGCUGCGCUAGCCUCUCAAUCAAGCCCGUUGCGUUUUGUCACCUUGUCCCAGCUCUGCAACAGCAGCAGCAGCAGCGUGCACGUGCGUGGCCCACCGCCGCACGUCGGAUCUCGUAUUAUUCCGCGCUCCAUGGGGCAAUUACACGAUCGUCUUUUUCUACGUUCAACCCGACAAUGAUUCAGGCGAAGAUUAACGGAUCGAGCCCAGCUUUCCGGCAUUGUUCAUAAACAAUGGCAUGCACUACAUCGUAGCAUAGCUUCAAAGAUUCCUGUAGCAAUCAGAUGAAGAAGCAAUAAAGCCCCCAUCUUACUAGGGGUGUUUGGAAGGAGGAGCUAAAUUUUAACCCUGUCACAUUGGAUGUUCGGAUACUAAUUAGGAGAACUAAACAUAAGCUAAUUGCAGAACCCUAUGCUAAAUCGCGAGACGAAUCUAUUAAGCCUAAUUAAUCCAUCAUUAGUGAAUGGUUACUGUAGCAUCACAUUGUCAAAUCAUGGACUAAUUAGGCUUAAUAGAUUUGUCUCGCGAUUUAGCCUAGGGGUUGUGUAAUUAGUUUUGUAAUUAGUCUAGAUUUAAUACUCCUAAUCAGUGUCCAAACAUUUGAUGUGACGAGGGCUAAAAUUUAGCCCCCCUCCUCCCAAACACCCCCUCACCAAACGAGAAAAUAACUAUUUUUUUACUUUUAUUUUUUUUCAGGAAGCAUGGAGCUUAUUCGAUGAUGCCAUUUUAGAUGCUUUUCCGUGGCUUCAGAUUUUGAAACUUGCAGAAAAACUACAAGAGCUCGUUUUUUUUUUCUCACCUAUCACCAAAACAGCUUCUUCUUCUUCCUCUGUCAGUGAUGGGCUGACUGCUCUUGCUUGCCGUGAAGUUCCCUCGCUUUCCACUCACACGCAAGCGCGAGCUCACAGUUCCCAGGCCGCCACACGCGCGACCCAACAAAAAAGCAAACGAACACGCGAGCACAGCCAAACGUGUUCUUCCGCCCGGAAACAAAAACCCCUCCUUUUUCCCCCUUACCUCUCUUUCGAUCCUUUUCCCCCACCCGCAAUCCGAGAGCAAGGAGCCGUUUCCACUUUCCAGUGAGAGGGUAGCGGAGAGGGAGGCUCCAGCAUCCCCCCAUUGUGUAGGCUCCCGCCGGUUCUUGCGGCGGCGGCGACGGGUUCCGCCGCGAUGGAUCAGGACGCGGCGGCGAGCCUGGUGGCGGCGCGGCGGACGCUGCGGGCGGGGGUGGACAAGUCCCGGGCGCUGGGGCACGCGCUGGCCCGCGCGGGGCCCCGGCUCGAGGAGAUCCAGGCGGCGCUGCCGGCGCUGGAGGCCGCGGUGCGCCCGAUCCGCGCGCCGAGGGCCGAGCUCGCCGCCGCGGGGCCCCACAUCGACCGCGCCGUGGGCCCCGCCGCCGCGGUCCUCAAGGUGUUCGACGCCGUGCACGGCCUCGAGCGCCCGCUCCUGGCGCCAGGCGGCGCGGGUGCGGGCGCGGGCGGGGACCUGCCCGGGUACCUCGCCGUCCUCGCCCAGCUCGAGGACGCGCGCCGGUUCCUCGCCGGCAACUGCGGCCUCGCCGCGCAGUGGCUCGCCGACAUCGUCGAGUACCUCGGCGACCGCGACCUCGCCGACCCGCGCUUCCUCGCCGACCUCGGGGUCACGCUCGAGGGGCUCAAGGCGCCAUCCGACGACCUCGACGGCGGGCUCCUGGCCGCCGCCCUCGAUAUUCUCGAGGCCGAGUUCCGCCGCCUGCUCGCCGACCACUCCGCGCCGCUCGCGAUGCCGAAGCCCGGCGCGGCGGUGGCGGCGCCGGCCCGCGUGCCCGCCUCCGCCGUCCACAAGCUCAGCCUCAGCCUCGAUCGCCUCGUGGCCAACGGCAGGCAGGAACGCUGCGUGGCCGCUUACAUUGAUGCGCGAGGGAGUGUGGUCACUGCCAGUCUUGAUGCCCUCGGCCUCGACUACCUACGCGACCCGGCUCAGGACGCGCAGGCAUUGGGACCUGCCCUUGAGAUGUGGGGGCAGCAUUUGGAGUUUUUGGUGCGCCGCCUCCUCGAGUCAGAGCGGCAGCUCUGUGUCAAGGUGUUUGGGCAGCACAAGGAGGUUGCAUCGGCGUGCUUUGCGGAGGUGGCAGCGCAGGCCGGUGUUCUUGAUUUCUUGAGGUUUGGCCGUGCGGUUGUUGAUGCUAAGAAGGACCCCAUCAAGCUCCAGCGGUUGCUGGAGGUAUUUGAUUCUUUGAAUAAGCUUAGGCUGGACUUCAAUAGGUUAUUUGGCGGUAAGGCGUGUGCAGAGAUUCAGAGCCAGACUAGGGACCUUGUGAAGUUGUUGAUAGAUGGUGCUGUUGAGAUUUUUGAGGAGUUGAUUGUGCAGGUUGAGCUCCAGCGGCACAUGCCUCCCCCAUCUGAUGGGGGUGUGCCGCGCUUAGUUACCUUUGUUGUCGAGUACUGCAACCGGCUACUUGGUGAUCAAUACAGACCGGUGCUUGGUCAGGUGAUCACCAUCCAUCGCAGCUGGCGCAAAGAGGUGUUCAAUGACAGGAUGCUUGUUGACGCGGUGGUUAACAUUGUCAAGGCCCUCGAAGCUAACUUUGAUGUUUGGUCCAAGGCGUAUGACAAUGCUAUGCUGUCAUAUCUCUUCAUGAUGAACACACAUUGGCAUAUCUUUAGGCAUUUGAAGGCUACUAAGCUAGGGGAGAUCUUGGGUGAUGUGUGGCUGCGAGAGCAUGAACAAUACAAGGAAUACUAUCUGUCGAUGUUUAUCAGGGAGAGCUGGGGAGCACUUGCGCCGCUAUUGAACCGGGAGGGAUUGAUAUUGUUCUCCAAGGGCCGGGCCACGGCAAGGGACCUGGUGAAGCAGCGCCUGAAAACAUUCAAUUCAAGCUUUGAUGAGAUGCAUUGCAGGCAAUCGUCGUGGGUUAUACCGGACAAGGAUUUGCGGGAAAAGACAUGUAAUCUUGUGGUACAGACAAUUGUUCCUACUUACCGGAGCUACUUGCAGAACUAUGGACCACUUGUGGAGCAAGAGGGUAAUACCGGCAGGUAUGUAAGGUUCACUGUUGAUGGUAUGGAGAAGAUGCUUGGUGCACUCUACAUGCCCCGGCCCAGGAGGUCUGCAAGCAUCCAAAUCAAGCACUCGAGUGACAAGAUUACCAGUGCAAUGACUGGGUUGCAUCGGAGCGCUUCUGCAGUGAAAUAGCUUCUGUUGAGGAACUCAAAGAUCGGAUCCAAUAUUAUGCAAUAACUGUUUUGUGGCAAAUGAUUCAUUUGACCCUGUCAGUAAAGAGUCCUGCGCUGUAUAGGUGACCUGAUAAUGGACCGAUGAUGAGAGCAGUGGUCAGUGGUGGCACAUGAACAUAAGCUCCUCUUUAGUUAGCAUGAGAAGAGAAGAUGGCGUAAUCAUUCCUCAGCAACUAUUUGAGAUGUUACUUUCUCCUGGGCCAUCUUCUCUUGUUUUUGUACUUCUACUAGGGUCCCCUACACCAUAUCAUUCAUUUGGAGGAUAUUCAAUCAUCUGUGUACUGUAUGUAAAAUCAGUUGUAUUUUGAGCCCAUUAUAUGUAGUGGGUUAUAUGGAGAAAAAAAAUCAAUUUCAAGGAAUUGCUGGGAGCCUUGCUAGCAGUACCGGGGCUUCAAAGUGAGGCUCUGCAAUUUGGUGAACCGGAGAUGAUAUUUGCCCAAUUUCAGCUGCAUUUCACCCCUUUUCUUUCUUUCUUUCCCCCAUUUUCUUUUUGCUACGAUUCGAAAUGAAUUAGGCCACAUCUACAGUACCCUUUUUUGUUUUUUGGUCCAAACUGACUUAUGCAGCUGAAAGGAUCCGUAACUGAUUUGACAUACAGUUCAUUGAUGGCUCUAGCACAGGUUGCCAUUCAGUUCAGUGUGCCAUGAGCUGCUGAUGUUUACGGUGCGCAUCGAUGCAGGAUGGACUUUUUCUAGGGUGAUGCAGGAUGAAUUGAAGGAACUUGGAAGUUGGAAUCAUGAAGCUUGCAUACUGGGAAUACCCAGGAGUAAGCAUCUGAAACCUGCUUAGAGAUUUUUGUUAUUCUCCCUUGCAGUUUGAUUCGUUGCAGCAUUUCAGUUCAGUUUGAUUCACCACCCUCCUGACUCAAAAGGGAUUAAUGGGCCGCAAAAAUGUUUGGGCCGAAAGCAGAUGCGCGCUCAUGGCACAUAAGAAUUACAGUACGCUACACAAGAAUAAUAGUACGCUACAUAGCAGACGUUUAGAAUCUUUAAAAAAUCCCACGCUGAACAUAUGUUGCAAUAAUUAAGUAUUGUUAUAAGUAUUGUUUCUGUACGUUCCACGAUAAAUGUUGCAUGAAACAUAGUGUUUAUAUUGCGGUGGGAAUUUAUCCCACAGUCGAACGACGUAGUCAUUUUCACACAUUAUUUUUUUCAUGUUGUAAAUAGUAACUAGUAAUGUUGCACUAGGUAAUUUUUAAUGUUUCGUCGGAGCGUCUGAUACAAACUUUUCUAUCAGACAUCCAAUCGCUAGCAAGACGUCCAAGCGCUAGCAGUGGUAAGCCCACAAACUAUUAUUCACAUCGAAUGGGCUGGCUGGGCGCAGAGUGCUCUUGAUCGUACUUCGUGUCCGGUGGUAAUUCAUUUUCGCAAUAUUUUAAAUUUUAAUUACGUCAAUGCAAGACCAUUACCAAGCUAAUUUCAGCUUAAAAUGGGUACUUGCGGGGUUUUUAUUUAAAAAAAGGUACUUUCAGAUUGAAAUACAUACCAAUGUUGUAUAUCAAUGUUAGUUCCUUGGUGCUUCGAAAAAUUCUUACACGUACCAAUGUUAGUACUAUACCAGUUUAGAAAGAAAAGGGCGAAGCACAAAGUUGUUAGUCCAUAAAACAAGUCAAGGAGUAAUGGCUUUAUGGAUCAGAUCACCGUGUUCGGUUCAUACAAUCUAAAACUCAUUUUAACUAACAACUAACGACUAACGAGUUGCAAGUCAUCUCCGCAGCACAUUAAUGUCCGUACUGCCUCGGCUCGUAGUCUUUUGAUACUCAAAUUUCCAAUCAAAAACUAAGCUAUCGAGCUAAAAAUGAUCACAAACCCACAGAUCCAAACAACCCAAUGCAUGCGAGACAGGUAUGCAAUCCACAGGACAAAUAGAUAAACCGUAAUAACAUCCAAUAGACAGCACACUGAAUGUAGCAGAAAAAGGAGUCACAUGACACCACACGCAGCAGCUAAAAACAUAAUGUUCGCUGCUUAAACACUCCCAUAACACAAUUUAGACACCCAGCACAAUUAGUUUAGACUGGACACAAAAGACUGACGCCACCACACUAAUAAGACAACCACACGGGAAAAACAGAAAACAGGUAGAUAAAUAGCAGUAUCGAAGUGCUGCGUGGGAUCAUAAUAGCGCCACAUCUCACUCAUCAUCCUCUUCCUCGGACUCGGCGCUCUGGAGCCACUCCACGAACGGCUUGGCAUUCUUCACGACCUGGGAGUUCUUGCCGGCAGCGACAGCAGCGUUGUACCACUCCACGAUGGUUUCCUCCUCCAGCACAUCACCAUCAUACAGAGCUUUCAGGACGACUGGGACCUCCUUC
rnacentral:lncRNA from 1 species